rnacentral:lncRNA from 1 species
ACAAGAUGGAACAAAAUAAAAAGGAAAAAAAAUACAAAGAGUGGAAGGAGAAUAAAACAGAGACAGCGGCACAGCUGGACACAACUAGAUAGAGAACAGAGCAAAACCAAAUAACAAGACUUAAGAUUACAACAAACAGAGGCCAAGUAUUAUUGUUGAGAUCAGAAGAUGGAAAAUUCAAAAGAGUUGAUGGCAGAUGCUGAAUAACAAAACAACAAUGAACGCAAUAAGCAGAAGCAAAGUGUGUUUGAAUGCAAAGAAAGACUGAUGUUGAAAAUUGAUGUCAAUAGCGAAGGAAUAAUUGAACUUUCGCUGAAUUAUUGUUUGUGGCCUUCUUUUACUUUUUAUUUGUGGGUCAUGUCUUUUGGAACUAAUCAUCUUAGGUUAUGCCUUAUAGCUUUAAGGCCGGUAAACCGGUGUCCGUUGGAUUAGCAUAUAGAAAUCCAACGGUGGAUAUAUAUACUUGGAGAAUAAAAUUCAAGAGCUAAGGGAGUGCUGGGCUGCAGUUUCUUAAGGAGAUUUAUAUAUCCUCCUCAAAAAUAAAUGUUUUAAGGUAGAUAUUUAGACUAUUUCAUCAUAAAAUAAAUGUAAUUAGUUUUCAAUAAAUAUCUUAUAUAAAUAUUUAUUUAUUUUUUUAAUUACUAAUGACCUUUGAAUAUACAUAUAUACAUAUCCCUAGUUCAAAAAAUAAAUUGUGAUUAUUUGUUCAUGUAUGCGAUUACUUGUGAUGGGAAAUAAAAUAGAUAUGGUAUAUUUUGAAGUUAAAUUAAAAAAAAAAAAAACAGAGCUUUUACCAUUACUUGCCUUAUCAUCUUUUAAAUUAGAGUUAUUAUUCUUUUAUUUUUCAAGUUGCCAACUCAUCCGCAUUUUUUUUUUAUUGAAUUUGAAGAUCAAUGAUUAUAAAUGUGUGUAAAAAUUUUAAGUCAAAACUUUAAAUAAUCUUUAAGUUAUUGGGAAAUAAUAACUUAGUAUAACAAAUAUUAUAUCCUAUACUUUAUUGCUACAAAAUUACGAAACCUUAUAUUAUAUUAUGUUUCCAUAUUUCUCCUUUAUAGUGAAGACUCAUACUUCUUCUCUAUUAAAUGCUAAAGUAUUGGCUUAAAUUUUUUAACCAGCACAGUAGACCCUUAAGCUAUAUAUACUAUAAUGUCCCUCUUCUCUCAUAGAUUAAACCAAUCUGAUCUCGGAGUGAGUUGAUACCAUGACUUUGCAUAAUUCGUGAUCAAAGGAGUAUCAUUACUAACUAAUAUAGGCUCCAUCAAUAGGCAUGAUAAUAAUUUUUUUUAUAUACAAACACUGUUUUUCAAAAUAUUAUAUCUUAAGACUUAACUAAAUAUUUUGUAACUAUGUAGAUAUAGUUUGUUUGAUCUCUUUUAAAUAGUGGAGAUUACAAACAAACAUAUGCAAAUUAGUAGUGAUGUUGAGUUUAGAAGAUUGAAGUUAAGAAAAUUAAGGGUUUCUUGAUCUAGAGAAAUUUCAAAUGAGUGAAGUGUCCUUGAAAUCGGAAGACGAAAAUAAGGAAAGGGUAAGGGUGUAUUUUCAAAGUGAUUCUAUUACGAGAUUUUGAAGUAGGGGUGGGCAAGUCGGGUUUUGGUUCGGGUUGUUCAAGUUUCGAUUUGGAUUUCAACCCAAUCGGGUUUGAGAAUUGAAUCCAAUCGGGUUGAAAACGCCAACCCAAACUAAACCGAACCGAAUUUAAUUCAGCUUGGGUUCAUAAUUCGGAUUGGUAAUUCAGGUUAAAAUUUCGGUUCGGGUUAAUUUGGGUUAGAAUAAUUCCAUCUAAAAUUUUGGGUUAGUUCGGUUUAAAACAAAUUGAAACAAUUUAAUCCAAAAAUUAUACCAACAACCACUUAAAAUCCAAAAAUCUCAAUUCCAAACAUCCUUAACAACAAAUAUCAACUACAAACUAUCCUUGAUAACAUUUCAACAAUAACAAUAACAAUAAUAACAACAACAACAACAAUAAUAAUAAUAAUAACAACAACUAUGAAUCAGCAAUUCAGCAUAUUGCCAUAUUCUAAAUUUAAAAAAACACACAAAUUAUGUAAUUAAUUAAUUAACAAUCUCCAAUUUAAUUUAUAAUAACAACAAAAAUCCUCUCCAAUUUAAUUAAUAACAAUCUCGAAUUGUUCAAUUACCAGUCAACAACAACAAACCCACUCCAAAUAAUUGAACAAUUGUUAAUUAAUUAAUUAAAAAUAUCUAAUUUAAUUAAUAACAACACCCAAGAGCAAGUCAGCAAUAAACCCACUCAAAAAUCCAAAUAUCAGUAUAAAUUAAGUGUCAAACCUUGAUCGGUGGGAAGCUACAGCGUCGGCAAAUUGUGACCGUGUGGGGCUGAGUGAGACCGUCAACCGAGGGUGUGAGAAGGGAGGAGGGAGCAGGGAGGUAACGAGGUGUGUGUGAGUUUAUAUAUAUAUAUAUAUAUAUAAUUUUUAAAACCUAAAACUUAAAAAAAAAAUUUAACCCAAUCCAAACCGCCCACCUCAUAUUACUUCCGUUAAGAGAUGGAUCCCACACUCUUGAGCCUUUGUCGUCCCAGUCAACUAUAAAAACAAAUCAUUAUUGAGUGUGAAUAGACUUAUUGAUCACCCAAUUUUCAAACUUAUCAUCCUUAUUGUAUCUGCAUUCCCUUUUGAAAAUUUUUUAAAAAAGUACAAAUAAUGAAACAAAGUUUUGUUCCUUCAACAGUUGAUAGAGUUACGCGGCUUGGACUUGCAAGUGCUGUCGGCAUUUUCAAACUUGUAAGACCCUUCAACUUGCUUUCCAAGAUAGCUAUAAUUAAUAAUGACAACAGUCUCCCUCAUAGCGACUAGUGAGCAACUGAAAUUAACGGCAUCUUCUCUCGCAUUUUUAAAAAAAUUGAAUUAUAUAACCCACCAAAACUAUAAAGAAUUGUUAGUUUUUCUUCAUUAAAAUUAAUAUAUUGCUCCUCAUAUUGAAAAAUCAAAAUUCAGAAUAAGAAUGAUUGAUACUGUUUAUUUACUAAAAUGAAAAUAAAAUAUAUGAAGCCUACAUAUUUUUGAAAUUAAAAAACAAGAACUUGAUUUUCCUUGGGGAGUGUUGGAAAUCAAGUUCUUGUUAUUUAAACUCUCAAUUGUAUCUCACCGAAAUUUCAUAAUUCUACUUUUGUCUUCAAUUAAAAUAUUAUUAUAGUUAUUAUUCUUAUUUUUGUAGUUGUUGUUGUUGAUUAUGAUAAAUGGUCAGGCAAAUGAUUCAUUUACUUAUUUUUUUCCUUUUAAAUUUUUGUUAUUAAGAAGAUUUUUGGAUAUUUAGCGUGAAGGUCUCAACUGAUCGCUAAUUUCACAGCAACUUCCUUUUUUUUUUUUUCCCUCAAUUGUUUUGAAAAAAUAUCAAGACUCAUUCAGCAAAAUAUCCGAGGCCAAAGCGCCAAAAGAUGGGACAGCCACAUGCACUUCUAAUUACAAAAUCUAAAGUUAGGGUGUCCAUAACUUACAUUUAAUAUAAUUUAUAAUUAGGUAAAAUUCAUUCAUUGACCCAGUAAUUUUAUUAUCCUAUUACUUAUAUUUUUAUAUUAAAAAAUUAGUAAGUAGGAAAAUUCUUAAAAGAUAAUGAAGAAGGAAAAGAAAAAGAAAAAGUGUAAAUGAACUGUAUUCACAUAAGUUUCAAACAUGUGAUUCAAUCUGAAUUGGCUUUUUUCAAAAGUAAAUACAAAGGAAAAUAAAAAGAAAAAAGCAAUUAAACGAGACUAAAAUCUGUGGCCUGUGUCAUUCAUAUCUUUUGACAUUUCUUUUAUAGCGGUAUAAAGGGUAGAUAUUUUGAAGUGAAAAGCAAAGCCUUUACCAUUACUUGCCUUAUCAUCUUUUAAAUUAGAGUUAUUAUCCUUUUAUUUUUAAGUAGCCAAAUUAGAGUUAUCAUCCUUUUAUUUUUAAGUAGCCAACUCAUCCGCAUUAUCUAUUAUUGAAUCUAAAGAUAAAUGAUUAUAAAUUUCUCUGAAGAUUUUAAGUCCAAACUAUAAAUUAAAAUAAUCUUAUUGAUUAAGUUAUUGUAUAAUAAUAACCUUAGCAUGACAAAUAUUAAUUCUUCUCUAGUAAAUGCUAAAGUAUUGGCUUAAGUUUUUUAACCAGCACAGUAAAUCCUUAAAGCUAUAUAUGCUAUAAUGUCCCUCUUCCCUUACAAAUUAAACCAAUUUGAAUUUAGAGUGAGUGAGUACCAUGAGUUUGCAUCAUUUGAUAUCAAAGGAGCAUCAUUACUAACUAAUACAGGCUCGAUCGAAUUCAUCAUACGAAGCAUAUUAUCGGCUGUAGGUAUGGAAAUAAAUUUUGUAUCCACAAACACUAUUUUUCAAAAUAUUUAAGACUUAACUUAUCAUUUUUUAACCAUAUAUGCAUAGGUUGUUUGACCUAUUUUAAAUAAUGGAGAUUACAACAAAUGAACAGAUGUGGAUUAGUAGUGUUGUUGAGUUCAGAAGAUUGAAGUUAAGAAAAAGGUUUCUUGAUCCAGAGAAAAUUCAAAAGAGCGAAGUGUCUUCGAGAUCAGAAAACGAAAUAAGGAAAGGGUAAGGUUAUACUUUCAAAAUGAAUUUGUUGAGAGAUCUUUGAAGAUUAUUUUCAUUAACAAUUAGAUCCCACACUUGAGUCUUUGUCGUCUCAGUCAGUCAGUUAUAAAGACAAAUUAAUUUUGAGUAUGAAAGGACUUUCAAACUUGUGACCCUUCAAGCUUUCUAUGACAGCUAUAAUGAAUAAUUACAACAGUGCUACCUAAUAGUGAGCAACUUGUUUGAUGAAAUUAACAACUUCUUUUCUCUCAUGUAUUUUUAAAAAAUUGAAUUAUCAAAGCUUUUAUUUCAAAAUUAGUGCUAUAGUUCAUUAAUUUUGAAAAAUUUUCUUUUUUCUUUCCACACAACAGAUUGAUUUGCCCUCCAAAAACUGUAUUAGAUUGUUUAAUAUUGUAACUUCAAAAAACUUAUAAUAAAUUUUUAAAGAGAUAAAUAGGGAAUGUCAGUCUCCCAUCUACUCAAAAUUAAUAUAUAUCAUUAACUCUUGAUUAUUUUUAUAACAACUAAUAACUUUCUGGGCAGCAUAAUUUUACAGUAUCAUCCUUGUUUGUAAGUAUAUUUUUAUUCACAUUUAUUAUAAAUUAAUUAAGUCAUAUCAAUGAAAAUUGAAAUAGAAAUUGAAGUACUAAAAAAAAUGUUUUGGUGUGAAUAAAAAAUUGAAAAUAAAAAUAUUUUUAUUAUAUUUUUUAUUUUUAAAUGGUUUUCUUAUAAUAAAUAUAUAUUUUAUAUUCUCAAAUUGAAUUAUUGAGUAAAUGACUCAUUUACUCACUUUUUCUUUUAAUUUUGUUAUUAGGAGGAUUUUUAGAUAUAAUGAAAAUUGUAAGGUAGUAAGUAAUAUAAAAUAAUUUUAAUAGAGAAAAAUAAAAAAUCUGUAAUUUUAAAAUAUAAGGAGAAAAAUAAUUAAUUUCAAGAUAUUUUAGAAGAUAUUUCAAUAUGCGGUGGACUAUAAACUCGAGUCUUUGUCGUCACAGUCAACUAAAAGGACAAAAUAUUGAGUGCGAAGGGCUCAACUGAUUGCUAAUUUCACAGUAAUUGCGUUUUUUCUUUCUUUUUUUUAAUUAUUGGGAAAUAAUAACUUAGUAUAACAAAUAUUAGAUCCUAUACUUUAAUGCUGCAAAAUUAUGAAACCUUAUAUUAUAUUAUGUUUCCAUAUUUCUCCUUUAUAGUGAAGACUCACACACUUCUUCUGUAGUAAAUGCUAAAGUAUUGGCCUAAACUUUUUAACCAGCACAAUAAACCCUUAAGUUAUAUAUGCUAUAAUGUACCUCUUCCCUCACAGAUUAAACCAAUCUGAUCUCAGAGUGAGUUUGCAUCGAAGGAGUAUCCUUACUAACUAAUAUAGGCUCGAUCAAUAGGGAUGACAAUAAUUUUUUUAUCUACGAACAUUAUUUUUUCAAAAUAUUAUAUCUUUAGACUUAACUAAAUAUUUUUUUAAUCAUGUAUGUAUAGUUUGUUUGAUCUCUUUUAAAUAGUGGAGAUCACAACAAAGCAAAUGCUAAUUAGUAGUGAUGUUGAGUUCAGAAGAUUGAAGUAAUGAAAAUUAAGGGUUUCUUGAUCCAGAGAAAUUUCAAAAGAGUGAAGCGAAAAGUGAAUUUAUUGAGAGAUCUUUAAAGAUUUACUUCCAUUAAGGGUUGGAUGCCACACUUUUUGAGCCUUUGUCGUCCCAAUCAUUCAAUUAUAGGAUCCCUAAGCAUAUAACUUACAAUCCUUUCACAUAAAUAAUGAGUAGUGUGAAUCCAUACAACUUACAACCUUCUCACAUAAAUAAUGAGUAGUGUGAAUCCAUACAACUUACAACCUUCUCACAUAAAUAGUGAGUAAAUCUAAACUACUCACUAUUCAUGUAAAAAAAUUAUAAAUUACAUACAUGUAACUUAGCAUUAUUCUCCACUAUAAAGACAUAUUCUUAUUGAGGGUGAAUAGGCAUAUUGAUCACUAAAUUUUCAAACUUGUGAUCCUCAUUAAAUGUGAUUCCCCUUUGAAAAAGAAAAAAAAGUGCAAAUAAUGAAACAAAAUUAUGUUCCUUAGCAGCAAGUGGCGUCGGCAUUUUCAGACUUGUAAAAGGGAAUGAGAUCCUUUCCUGAACCCGGAUCUCAUUCCCUGUGAAACAAAAAAAGGUGCAAAUAAUGAAACAAAAUUCUGUUCCUUAGCAGCAAGUGGCGUCGGCAUUUUCAGACUUGUAAAAGGGAAUGAGAUCCUUUCCUGAACCCGGAUCUCAUUCCCUGUGAAACAAAAAAAGGUGCAAAUAAUGGAACAAAAUUUUGUUCCUUAACAGCAAGUGGUGUCGGCAUUUUCAGACUUGUAACAAGGGAAUGAGAUCCUCUCCUGAACCGGGAUCUCAUUCCCUGUGACAAGACCCUUGCCACCCUUCAACUCGCUUUCCAAGAUAGCUAUAUUAAUCGUGACAACAUUACUCUCAGUGAGCAAAAGUUAACAUCAUCUUCUCCCUAUUUUUUUAAAAAAUUGUAUUAUAUAGCCCACCAAAACUAUAAAGAGUCUUUUCUUAUUAAAAUUAAUAAAUUACUCUUUAUAUUAAAAAAUUAAAAUUCAAAAUGAAAAUGAUCUGAUGUUUAUUUAUUAAAAUAUAAAUAAAAUAUAUGAAGUUCAUAUUUUUUUAAAUUAAAAAAUAAGAACCUAAUUUCAUUCCUUAAAUUCCCAAAUUUACCUCACAAAAAUUCCAUAAACUUACUUUUGUCCUUAAUUAAAAUAUUAUUAUGUUAUUAUUAUGGUUAUUAUUCUUAUUUUUGUAAUAGUUGUUGUUGUUGAUGAUGAUAAUACAUAUAAUAAAAUUAAUAAUAAUAAAAAUAAUAACUAUAAUUUUAACAACAGCAAUAAUAAUCAUUAAUAUUAUUGUUGUUGUUGUUGUUGUUGUUGUUGUUCUUCUUCUUCUUCUUCUUCUUCUUCUUCUUCUUCUUCUUCUUCUUCUUCUUCUUCUUCUUAUUAUUAUUAUUAUUAUUAUUAUUAUUAUUACUAUCCUAUUAUAAUAAUAUUAUUAAAUAAUUAUUUUGAAUAAUAAUAAUCACAAUUAUUAUAACAAACGACAAAAAUCAACUAAGGUAAUUUUAAUAACUUGUAAGAAUUCAUUUUUAUUCAUGGAUAUGUGAUUAUUUGUUAAUGUAUGCAAUUACUUGUGAUGGUAAACAAAGUAUAUAUGGUAUAUUUUCAAGUUAAAAAAGAAAAACAAAACAAAGUUUUUACCAUUUCUUGCCUUAUCAUCUUUUAAAUUAGAGUUAUUAUUCUUUUUAUUUUUCAAGUUGCCAACUCAUCCGCAUUCUCUUUUAUUGAAUUUGAAGAUCGAUGAUCAUAAAUUUGUGUGAAAAUUUUAAGUAAAAAUUUUAAAUUAAAAUAAUCUUUUAAGUUAUUGGGAAAUAAUAACUUAGUAUAACAAAUAUUAUAUCCUAUACUUUAUUGCCACAAAACUACAAAACCAUAUAUUAUAUUAUGUUUUCAUAUUUCUCCUUUAUAGUGUGAAGACUCAUACUUCUUCUCUAGUAAAUGCUAAAGUAUUGGCUUAAACUUUUUAACCAGCACAGUAGACCCUUAAGUUAUAUAUGUUAUAAUGUCCCUCUUCGCUCACAGAUUAAACCAAUCAGUAGCCUUCUCUCAUAUAGAAAAACUUUUUGUAUAAGACAAAUUAUUAUGUUAUCGGAAAAAUUACAGUAGACGUAAGCUAUAUAUGUUAUAAUGUUCAGAAGAUUGAAGUUAAGAAAAUUAAGGAAAGGGUAAGGAUGUAUUUUCAAAGUGAAUUAUUAAGAGAUCUUUGAAGAUUACUUCCGUCAAGAGUUGGGUCCCACACUUUUACCUUUUGCUCGUUCCCGUGAAAGUCAGUUUAGAAUUUUUAUCUUAUUUCACAAAGCUAAUUUUUUAUCACAAGCAGGAGAGAAACGGCAUUUCUUAGCAGUAGUUCAUCACUGUAGUAGCGAGCGAGUGAGGAACAAAAUUGCCAACAAUUAUCAAAAAAUAAUUAUAUAAAAAAGAUCACAUGCUAUAAUUAAUCAUGACAAUUGACAACAUUACUCCCACCGAGCAAAAGUUAACAGCAUCUUCUCCCACAUUUUUUAAAAAAAAUUGUAUUAUAUAACCCACCAAAAGUAUAAAGCGUCUUUCCUUAUUAAAAUUAAUAAGUUACUCUUUAUAUUGAGAAAUUAAAAUUUAAAAUGAGAGUGAUUAAUGAUGUUUAUUUAUUAAAAAUAAAAUAAAAUUUAUGAAGUCUAUAUAUUUUUUAAAUUAAAAAAUAAUAACUUAAUUUCUUAUAGGGAGUGUUGGAAAUCAAGUUUUUAUUUCUUAAAUAUCCAAUUUUACUUCACAAAAAUUUUAUAAGUUCACUUUUAUCCUUAAUUAAAAUAUUAUUAUGGUUAUUAUUCUUAUUUUUGUAGUAGCUGCUGUUGUUAUUGUUGUUGUUGUUGUUGAUGAUGAUGAUAAUAGUUGAUAAUAAAAUUAAUAAUAAUAAUGAAAAUAAUAACUAUAAUUUUAACAGCUACAAUAAUAAUCAUUAAUGUUAUCGUUGUUCUUAUUAUUAUUAUUAAAAAAUAAUUAUUUUGAAUAAUAAUAAUCACAAUUAUUAUAACAAACAACGACAAUAAUCAACUAAUGUCAUUUUUCUAACUUAUAACAAUUCAUUUUUUAUUCCAAGACAAACUAACCAUAUCAAUAAUAAUACAGGUCGUUUCGAUUCUAAUUUUUACAGGUAAAGUAAAUAAUUUAUUCUGAUUCUCAUUUUUUAUUUUGAUUUUAUUCUAUUCCGAUUCCAUUUGAUUAUGAUUCCAGCCAAUUCUAAUUAUCGAUUAGAAAAUGCAUUGUUACUACUUUAACAAUAACUAAUGAUUCUCCUCACAAUUCUUAUAGGAUUAUCCUUAUUUUAAAAUAUUUUUUAUUCGUAUUUAUUAUUAAUUAAUUAAAUUAUAUCAAUGAAAAUCAAAUAAAAAUUUAACUAAUAAAAAUGAGAAAAUAUAUGUUUCGGUUUGAAUAAAAAAUUAUAAUAAAAUAUUUUUCUUACAUACUUUAAAUAUUUUUAUUAUAAUAAAUAUUUUUUUAUUCUCAAAAUAAAUUAUCAAGUAAACGAUUCAUUAACUCAUUUUUUUCCUUUAAAUUUUUGUUAUUAAGAAGAUUUUUGGGUAUUGACCGUGAAGGGCUCAACUGAUCGCUAAUUUUGCAGCAAUUACCUUUUCUUUUUCUUUUUUUUUAAUUGUUUUGAAAAAAUAUCCAGACUCAUUCUGCAAAGUACCUGAGACUAGAGCUGGCAAAAUUUGACACGACCCGAUUACCCGACACGAACACGACAUAAAUAAAUGGGUAUGGGUCGUCAAAUUUAACACGAUUAUUAAAUGGGUCGGGUCCGGGUCAACACGAUUUUUUUCCGUGUCGGGUUUGGGUUAAAAUUCUUGACCCAUUUACCCGAUCAAUGACCCGAUUAUAUUUUCUAUUUUAAAAUAAUUUAUAUAUUCUUAUAAUUAAAACUCAAAUAUUAGAGAUGAUUUUCUUUUUUUUUUUAUUUUUUAAAAGGGUGAAUAUAAACACAGUGUUUUAUUUAUAAAAUUUUACAUACAUUUAGAGCUUCAAUAGUGUAAAUGUGUAAAAAUUGAUAGACAUGUAUAUUUUAUAAUAUUGAUAUAUAAUAUUAUAUAUAUAUAUAUAUAUAUAUAUAUAUAUAUAUAUAUAUAUAUAUAUAUAUUAAAACUUCAAUAGUAUAAAUGUAUAAUAUAUUGGUAGAUAUAUAUAUUUUAUAAUAUUGAUAAAUUAUGUAUGUAUGUAUGUAUGUAUGUAUGUAUGUAUGUAUGUAUGUAUGUAUGUAUUUAUGUACAUACGUAUGUAUGAUAGUGUGUAAAUAUUUUAUGUAACUUUUGUUCAAUAUAUAGAUAUUAAACGGGUUAUUGGGUAACCCGAUUAUUUUUCCGUGUCGGGUUUGAGUCUCAAUAUUUUGACACGAUUAUUAAAUGGGUCGGGUUUGGGUCGAUCUAAAUUUGACACGACACGAAACUGACACGAUACGAACACGAUCCGAUGACCCGUUUUGCCAGCUCUACCUGAGACCAAAGCGCCGGCCAAAGCGCCGAAAGAUAGGACACCCACAUGUGCUUUUAUUUACAAAAUCUAAAGUUAGGGUGGGUGUCCAUAACUUAAAUUUAAUAGAAUUUAUAAUUAGGUAAAAUUCUUUGAUUGACCCAUUAACUUUUAUUAUUUUAUUAUUUAUUUUUAUAUUAAAAAAUUAGUAAUGUAGAAAAAUUCUUAAAAGUUAAUGGAGAAGGAAAAGAAAAAGAAAAAGUGUAAAUGAACUGUAUUCAUUUAAGUUUCAAACAUGUGGUUCAAUCUGAAUUCGUUUUUUUUAAAAGUAAAUACAAAAGAAAAUAUAAAGAAAAAAAAUUAAACGAGACAAAAAUCAGUGGCGUGGGUCAUUCAUAUCUUUUUCCAUUUUUUUUUAAUAGAGGUACAUAGCAUAGAGUCGAUAUUUUGAAGUGAAAAGCAGAACCUUUACUGUUGCUUCCCUUAUCAUCUUUUAAAAUUAGAGUUAUUAUUCUUUUAUUUUUAAGUGGCCAACGGAUGGUAGCCAACUCAUCCGUGUUCUCUAUUAUUGAAUUUAAAGAUCAAGGAUUUAUGUUAAUAAAUAUUUUGUUAACUAUCAAAGUUUUUAUUUCAAAAUUACUCCUAUAAUUCAUUAAAUUUUCAAUUUUUCCUUUUUCUAUUCACACAACAGAUUGAUUUGCCCUCCAAAAAAAUGUAUUAGAUUGUUUAAUAUUGUAACAUCAAGAAACUUAUAAUAAAUUUUUAAAGAGAUAAAUAGAGAAUGUCAGCAUCUACUCAAAAUUAAUAAAUAUACCACUAACUUCUUAUUAUUUUUAUAAUAACUAAUAACUUUUUUACCAGUAUAAUUUUAUAGUAUUAUUCUUAUUUGUAAGUAUAUUUUUUAUUCAUAUUUAUUAUAAAUUAAUUAAAUCAUAUCAAUAAAAAUUAAAAUAACACAAUAUGUUUUGGAGUGAAUAAAAGAUUGAAAAUAAAAAUAUUUUUCUUUUAUUUUUUGUUAUUUUAAAAUUUUUUUCUUAUAAUAAAUGUAUAUUUUAUAUUCUUAAGAUGAAUUUUGAGUAAAUGACUCAUUUACUCACUUUUUCUUUAAAUUUUUGUUAGUAGGAGGAUUUUUAGAUAUAAUGAAAAUUGUAAGGUAGUAAGUAAUAAUAUAAUAAUUUUAAUAAAGAAAAAUAAUUAAUUUCAAGACAUUUCAGAAGAUAUUUCAAUAUGCGGUGGACUACAUCCUUGAGUUGAGUCUUCAUCGUCUCAGUCAACUAAAAGGACAAAAUAUUGAGUCACAAAGGACUCAACUGAUUGUUAAUUUCACACCAAUUACCUUUUUUUUCUUUUUUUUUUCUUAAUCUAUAUAUUUAUAUAAAGUUAGUACUUGAGAAUGUGAUGUAUCAUCACCAUUUUUUUUUAUUUAAUAAAUAGAGAAAUUUUCUUUUAAAUUUGACUUUUCAUUUUCUCAUAAUUAAUUUGAUUGCUAUUGCACAAUAACAAUUAUGUAAAGAUUUUAAUGAGGCAUAUUAUUUGUAAUGAACAUUUAAGAGAGAGUGUUAUUUGUAAUGAACAUCUAAGGGAGAGUGUUAUGAAUUUAUUAAAAUAAAUAUAUAUUUUCAUAAUAUAUAUCUCUUAGUCUCCCCACUAUCUCCCAUUAGCAACCUUUAGCUUCCUUAUAACUCCCACUAUUUUUAUAAAUCCACCCACCUUCAUAAAAUAAUUACAAUAAGUUCACAUUAUUUUAUAGAAUUACAAAUUAAUAAUAAGUUUGAAUAAUUAAUUAAUUAAAUCAUUCUUAUAAUUUUUUUUCUUUCUUUGUCUUUCAACAAUCUUUAAUAAUUUAAGGUUGCUUUAAGAUAAGUUUAAUUUAAUUAAUUUACCCUUAUAAUAUAAAAUAACAAAAUUACCCUAAGAAAUAUAUAUUAUUGUAACUAAUUGUUUAGGCAUUUAGUUUUAUGUUUUAUAAUCUAAUAUGCUUUAUAUAAAAUUUAAUAAUUUUCAAUACUCCAAAUGUCCUAAUUACAUCUUGUUAGUUUAGUGAAAUAUUAAUAAUUAUACUAAAAAAGCAUUACUUAUACAUCAUUAAAAUAUAAAAAAAAUUAUUAAGUUAAAGUAAACUUUUAGAUAUUUUUGUUACUUUUACCUUAUAAGGUUAGAAUAAUUAUAUUAAUUUAUGUUAAAACAACCUUAUUGAUCAAAUAUAAUUAAAAAAAUAGUCUCAUAAAAAAAUUAAUGAAUAUGGAUUUAAUUGGUUAAAUUUUUAAAUUUCUUCUUAAUUUGAAUUUUUAAAAAAUAAUGUGUACUUGUAGUAAUGAUUUUUUAAAAUUGGGGUGGGUUAUUAUUGAUGACCUUUGAACAUACAUACAUAUUAUUAAUAUAUUUAUUAAUAUAUACGAUUACUUGUGAUGGUAAACGAGGUAGAUAUGGUAUAUUUUUAAGUUAAAAAAAAAAAACAAAACUUUUACCAUUUCCUGCCUUAUCAUCUUUUAAAUUAGACUUAUUAUUAUUUUAUUUUUCAAGUUGCAACUCAUCCUCAUUCUCUUUUAUUGAAUUUGACGAUCAAUGAUUAUAAAUUUGUGUGAAAAUUUUAAAUCAAAGUUUUAAAAUAAAAUAAUCUUUAAGUUAUUGAGAAAUAAUAACUUAAUAUAACAAAUAUUAUAUCUUGUACUUUAUUGCUACAAAAUUACGAAACCUUAUAUUAUAUUAUGUUUCCAUAUUUCUCCUUUAUAGUGAAAACCCAUACUUCUUCUCUAGUAAAUGCUAAAGUAUUGGGUUAAACUUUUUAACCAGCACAGUAGACCCUUAAGCUAUAUAUGUUAUAAUGUCCCUCUUCCCUCAGGAUUAAACCAAUCUGAUCUCAGAGUGAGUUUGCAUUAUUUGUCAUCAAAGGAGCAUCAUUACUAACUAAUAUAGACUCGAUCAAUAGGUAUGACAAUAAAUUUUCUGUCUACGAACACUAUUUUUUAAAAUAUUAUAUCUUUAGACUUAACUAAAUAUUUUUUAAUCAUAUAUGUAUAGUUUGUUUGAUCUCUUUUAAAUAGUGGAGAUCACAACAAAGCAAAUUCGAAUUAGUAGUGAUGUUGAGUUCAGAAGAUUGAAGUAAAGAAAACUAAGGGUUUCUUGAUCCAGAGAAAUUUCAAAAGAGUGAAGCGAAAAGUGAAUUUAUUGAGAGAUCUUUGAAGAUUUACUUCCGUUAAGAGUUGGAUGCCACACUUUUUGAGCCUUUGUCGUCCCAAUCAUUCAAUUAUAGGAUCCUUAAGUAUAUAACUUUCAAUCUUUUCACAUAAAUAAUGAGUAGUGUGAAUUCAUACAACUUAUAACUUUCUCACAUACAAUUUACAACAUUCUCACAUAAAUAGUGAGUAAAUCUAAACUACUCACUAUUCAUGUAAAAAAAUUAUAAAUUAUAUAUAACUUAGCAUUAUUCUCCACUAUAAAGACAUAUUCUUAUUAAGUGUGAACAGACAUAUUGAUCACUAAAUUUCCAAACUUGUGAUCCUCAUUAAAUGUGAUUCCCCUUUGAAAAAGAAAAAAAAGUGCAAAUAAUGAAACAAAAUUAUGUUCCUUAGCAGCAAGUGGCGUCGGCAUUUUCAGACUUGUAAAAGGGAAUGAGAUCCUUUCCUGAACCCGGAUCUCAUUCCCUGUGAAACAAAAAAAGGUGCAAAUAAUGAAACAAAAUUCUGUUCCUUAGCAGCAAGUGGCGUCGGCAUUUUCAGACUUGUAAAAGGGAAUGAGAUCCUUUCCUGAACCCGGAUCUCAUUCCCUGUGAAACAAAAAAAGGUGCAAAUAAUGGAACAAAAUUUUGUUCCUUAACAGCAAGUGGUGUCGGCAUUUUCAGACUUGUAACAAGGGAAUGAGAUCCUCUCCUGAACCGGGAUCUCAUUCCCUGUGACAAGACCCUUGCCACCCUUCAACUCGCUUUCCAAGAUAGCUAUAUUAAUCGUGACAACAUUACUCUCAGUGAGCAAAAGUUAACAGCAUCUUCUCCCUAUUUUUUUAAAAAAUUGUAUUAUAUAGCCCACCAAAACUAUAAAGAGUCUUUUCUUAUUAAAAUUAAUAAAUUACUCUUUAUAUUAAAAAAUUAAAAUUCAAAAUGAAAAUGAUCUGAUGUUUAUUUAUUAAAAUAUAAAUAAAAUAUAUGAAGUUCAUAUUUUUUUAAAUUAAAAAAUAAGAACCUAAUUUCAUUCCUUAAAUUCCCAAAUUUACCUCACAAAAAUUCCAUAAACUUACUUUUGUCCUUAAUUAAAAUAUUAUUAUGUUAUUAUUCUUAUUUUUGUAAUAGUUGUUGUUGUUGAUGAUGAUAAUACAUAUAAUAAAAUUAAUAAUAAUAAAAAUAAUAACUAUAAUUUUAACAACAGCAAUAAUAAUCAUUAAUAUUAUUGUUGUUGUUCUUGUUGUUGUUGUUGUUGUUCUUCUUCUUAUUAUUAUUAAUAUUAUCAUCCUAUUAUAUUAUUAUUAUUAAAUAAUUAUUUUGAAUAAUAAUAAUCACAAUUAUUAUAACAAACGACAAUAAUCAACUAAGGUAAUUUUAAUAACUUGUAACGAUUAAUUUUUAUUCAAAGAUAUGUGAUUAUUUGUUAAUGUAUGCAAUUACUUGUGAUGGUAAACAAAGUAUAUAUGGUAUAUUUUCAAGUUAAAAAAGAAAAACAAAACAGAGUUUUUACUAUUUCUUGCCUUAUCAUCUUUUAAAUUAGAGUUAUUAUUCUUUUUAUUUUUCAAGUUGCCAACUCAUCCGCAUGCUCUUUUAUUGAAUUUGAAGAUCGAUGAUGAUAAAUUUGUGUGAAAAUUUUAAGUCAAAGUUUUAAAUUAAAAUAAUCUUUAAAUUAUUGGAAAAUAAUAACUUAGUUGUAAUAAAUAUUAUAUUCUAUACUUUAUUGCUACAAAAUUACGAAACCAUAUAUUAUAUUAUGUUUUCAUAUUUCUCCUCUAUAGUGAAGACUCAUACUUCAACUUUUUAACUAGUACAGUAGACCUUUAAGCUAUAAAUGUUAUAAUGUCCCUCUUCGCUCACAGAUUAAAACAAUCUGUAGCCUUCUCUCAUAUAGAAAAACUUUUUGUAUAAGACAAAUUAUUAUGUUAUAGGAAAAAUUACAGCAGACGUAAGCCAUAUAUGUUAUAAUGUUCAGAAGAUUGAAGUUAAGAAAAUUAAGGAAAGUGUAAGGAUGUAUUUUCAAAGUGAAUUAUUAAGAGAUCUUUGAAGAUUACUUCCGUCAAGAGUUGGGUCCCACACUCUUAAGCUUUUUUCGUCUCAAUCAACUAACAAGACAAAUUAUUAUUGGGUGUGAACAGUCCGGCUUAUUGAUUGUUAAAAAAAUAGCAUUAUUUUGAGCGCACAUGUUGAGUAAGUCUUAUUUAACGAAAGUGAAAAAUAAGGUUCAAAUUUUAUUUUAUUGAUAUUUUAAUAAUAUUUUUUUUUAUUUUUUUAAAAUGGUGUUUAGGUAAAUAAGAAAUUAUUUAUUAAAAUUCAUUUUUAAAGUUAAAAAUUUAAAAAGAAAUGAGGUUUAUCCCACAUGAAAAAAAGAAGCUUAAGAAUUAGUAUUUAUAUAUAAACAUUUAACCAUUCAUAAAUAAGAAUUAUAGGAAUAGAGACUCUUUUCACACAUACGUGCGUAAGGGGUACAAAUUCAAGACGAAUUUAGUUGAACUCGUGUGCACCUGCAUAUCCUGAGAACGCAAAUGUCGGUGAUAAAUUUGUUUUAAAGAUUCUACUCUGUGUAGGCCUCGGUUCCAUUUUAUUUUUUCUGUUUCGGUUUUCAUCUCUCUUCGGUUUUGCUUUCUAUUAUUUCAUUUCAAAUUUCAGUAGUUAUCUUUCGUUGCUUAGCUACUGUUUAAUUUGUUACCUCACCGUUUGUUUUAUCUAACAUUGAUCACCAAAUUUUCAAACUCGUGAUCCUGAUUGAAUCUGCGUUCCCCUUUGCAAAAGUAAUAAAAAAAAGUGCAAAUAAUGAAGACUUUCUCUUUUCACAUUUUUUACGCGUUUCUCUUUUCUCUCCCCCACGUGAACACUUUUGCCUUUUGCUCGUUCACGUGAACGUCAUUUUAGAAUUUUUAUCUUUAUUAAUCAUGACAAUUGACAACAUUACUCCCACAUUUUUUUUAAAAAAAUUGGAUUAUAUAACCCACCAAAAGUAUAAAAAGUAUUUUCUUAUUAAAAUUAAUAAAUUACUCUUUAUAUUAAAAAAUUAAAAUUUAAAAUAAAGAAUGAUUGAUGAUGUUCAUUUAUUAAAAUAAAAAUAAAUUUUAUGAAGUCUAUAUAUUUUUAAAAUUAAAAAAUAAGAACUUAAUUUCGUAUGAACUGUAUUCACUACUUAGUAUUCUUAAAAGUUAACGGAGAAGAAAAAGAAAAAAAAAAGUGUAAAUGAACUGUAUUCACCUAAGUUUCAAACAUGUGGCUCAAUCUGAAUUCGCUUUUUUCAAAAGUAAAUACAAAAGAAAAUAUAAAGAAAAAAAAUUAAACGAGACAAAAAUCUGUGGCGUGGGUCAUUCAUAUCUUUUUCCAUUUCUUUUGUAGAGGUACAUAGGGUAGAUAUUUUGAAGUGAAAAGCAGAGCCUUUACUGUUGUUUGCCUUAUCAUCUUUUAAAAUUGGAGUUAUUAUUCUUUUAUUUUUAAGGAUGGUAGCCAACUCAUCCGUGUUCUCUAUUAUUGAAUUUAAAGAUCAAUGAUUUAUGUUAAUAAAUUUUUUGUUAACUAUCAAAGUUUUUAUUUCAAAAUUACUGCUAUAAUUCAUUAAUUUUUCAAUUUUUCCUUUUUCUAUUCACACAACAGAUUGAUUUGUCCUCCAAAAAAAUGUAAUAGGUCGUUUAAUAUUGUAACAUCAAGAAACUUAUAAUAAAUUUUUAAAGAGAUAAAUAGAGAAUGUCAGUCUCGCAUCUACUCAAAAUUAAUAAAUAUACCACUAACUUCUUAUUAUUUUUAUAAUAACUAAUAACUUUUUUAGCAUUAUAAUUUUAUAGUAUUAUCCUUGUUUGUAAGUACAUUUUUUAUUCAUAUUUUUUAUAAAUUAAUUAAAUCAUAUCAAUAAAAAUUAAAAUAACACAAUAAGUUUUGGAGUGAAUAAAAGAUUGAAAAUAAAAAUAUUUUUCUUAUAUUUUUUGUUAUUUUUAAAUGUUUUUCAUAUAAUAAAUGUACAUUUUAUAUUCUUAAGAUGAAUUUUGAGUAAAUGACUCAUUUACUCAUUUUUUUUCUUUAAAUUUUUGUUACUAGGAGGAUUUUUAGAUAUAAUGAAAAUUGUAAGGUAGUAAGUAAUAUAUAAUAAUUUUAAUAGAGAAAAAUAAAAAAUCUCUUAUUUUAAAAUAUAAGGAGAAAAAUAAUUAAUUUUAAAAAAUUUUAGAAGAUAUUUCAAUAUGCUGUGGAUCACACCCUCGAAUCUUUGUCGUCUUAGUCAAUUAAAAGGACAGAAUAUUGAGUGUGAAGACUCAACUGAUUGUUAAUUUCACAGCAAUUGUCUUUUUUUUAUUCUUUCUUUGUUUUUCCUAAUUAUUUUGAAAUAGUAGGUAGCAAUUGCUUACAUCAAAAUAUCUAAACUCACUCAGCAAAGUAUCCGAGGCCAAAAUGUCAAAACGUGGGACACCCAUACAUCUAAUUACAAAGUCUAAAGUUAAUGAAAAGAAAAAAAGAAAAAGUAUAAAUGAACGGUAAUCACCUCAUUUUCAAACAUCUAAUUCAACAUGAAUUUCUUUUUACGAAAAGUAAAUUUUCUCCCGGAUUGUCCUCAUUACAUUAAACGAAUGAUGACGACGCUCUGUCCGUUUCUGACUCUCUGCUUUGCUCUCUCACAUCACGAGACACCUCGUUUCUAACUGGGGUACCACCAUCAUAUUUAACUGUCGGGUCUUCCUACUAUGCACCUAGUGUAUGCAUGAUUCUUUGUGACAUGACAUAUAGCCAAUUAAAUUCUGACAUGCUUGCAAUAAAGACUGUUAAAGUGACCGGUUAUUCCGGUUGAUUUCACAAGAUCUUUUGUUUGUGUGUUUGUGUUCCAAGUUGUGUACUCUAUGUUACGACUCCUCUGAUUUUUUUUUUUUUAAGUCUGUUAUACAGAGAUAUUACUGACAUUACAUCAAACAUUACAAUUAAUAUUUACAAUCAUACUAUAUAACUGGGACCACCACCAUACAUUGACACACUGAAGUAUAUGCCCAGAUAUUUUAAACCCUCGAAUUAUACACAGAUAUUACUGACAUUACAUCAGAUAUUACAAUUAAUAUUUACAAUCAUACUAUAUAACUGGGACCACCACCAUACAUUGACACACUGAAGUAUAUGCCCAUAUAUUUUAAACCCUCGAAUUAUACACAGAUAUUACUGACAUUACAUCAGACAUUACAAUUAAUAUUUACAAUCAUACUAUAUAACUGGGACCACCACCAUAACAUUACAAUUAAUAUUUACAAUCAUACUAUAUAACUGGGACCACCACCAUACAUUGACACACUGAAGUAUAUGCCCAGAUAUUUUAAACCCUCGAAUUAUACACAGAUAUUACUGACAUUACAUCAGAUAUUACAAUUAAUAUUUACAAUCAUACUAUAUAACUGGGACCACCACCAUACAUUGACACACUGAAGUAUAUGCCCAUAUAUUUUAAACCCUCGAAUUAUACACAGAUAUUACUGACAUUACAUCAGACAUUACAAUUAAUAUUUACAAUCAUACUAUAUAACUGGGACCACCACCAUACAUUGACACACUGAAUAUCAGACAUUACAAUUAAUAUUUACAAUCAUACUAUAUAACUAGGACCACCACCAUACAUUGACACACUGAAGUAUAUGCCCAGAUAUUUUAAACUCUCUCUAAUAUUCGAGGGGUGCCUGCUCCACUCACAUUUCGUAAGGGAGAGACUGUCUCCAUUCAAUUAAUUAAUAAUUGAGGAAGAACUGAAACUAACCUCUAUAAUGCUCUUAUGGAGGCUCGAACCCUUGCACUCAACAUUAUAAGUACAAGGCUUCUCCCAUUGGACCAAAGGCCUAUUGGUAUGAGUUCUCUGAUUAAGUCUGAUAUUAUCUGUUGCUCAAUAAUGUUACAGGUUUUAUAAUAUGACUGGUACGAUCGCUGUCACAAAUUUAGAACGAAAAGUUUCCAAUAAAAUAAGUUAUUUAAUUAAUUAAAUAAGAAUAAAAUGAAUUUGUGAAAAAAAUUUAAAUUUAAUUUUGAAUUAUUUUGACCAAAAUUUAAGUUUUUUUUAAUUUGUUUAAGAAAAUGUGUUGUAAUUGUCUUGUUUUAAUUGGAAAAUCAAUGAAAAAAUUAUGUAACAGACAAAAAAAAAAAAAAAAAAAAGCAAAACGGUUUGUUUUGUAUGGAGGCCAUAGAUUCUAAUAUUUCCUUCACGAAAACUACAAAAAAAUUAUCAAAGGCAUCAAUUUCUACACUCUCACCGAGCAAUACUCUUAACCCAGAAGAAAGUGUAUAAACCAACCCCAAUCAGUCCAUCAAUGUCGUCAACCUCAUACAGCAUAAAAAAAAAUCUGUGUCCAUUAAACCGCCAUUUAAACCGUCUUUAUUGAACCAUUAGACUAUUCGUGUCAUCUUCCCAUCUCGUUGUAGUAUUUUACCUUUCAAAUUUAGUUAUCAAUUCUGGAAAAUGGGACCAAUCUGCAAGUCUUUAAAAUAGAAAGAAACUUUAAUUGGGCACUAUGUUCACGGUAGUGGACCCAGCAGCAUUAAUAUUUAGGGUGGAGCUAUUUAUAUUUUAAACAUUCUAAUUUUAAUAAGAAUAUAUAUUACAAAUGAUCACGACAUUGGGGACCAAUCACGUUGACAAGCAUUUUUUUUAUUUAUUAAUAAAGUGCUCUGAAAAGAGCUAAGGCAAUACUAAACGGGGGUGGUCCCGUUUUUAAUCUAACAUAGAGUCUUAAAAACCUUGUCAGUGGCAAAUGAUCACGACAAGAAAUCUGAAGGAGAAACAGCAGAGCUCAACAAAUCACUAAGAGAAAAUAAGACCAAUAACCAAGCAGAUAAAAGAAAAGCAAAAUAACCCAUCUCAAAAUCACCACAUGCACUAUUUAAGGGGUUUGUGAUAUGGGUUUAAAAAUAAUUUAACAAGUGCCACCUGUGAAUUGUCAGAGAUUGUAUCUUCAUACACAUGUCAAAUUUUCAAGUCCAACAAAUUGUUAUCUUUCUAAAGAGGCUAAUAUUAUUAUUAUCUAUGCAUAGCAUGCUAUAAACAAUUCAUAUUACUAGGGCCUUUGUUUUCUGUACACAACAUAUGGACAGAGGAACAAAUCCCUGAGCUAAAAUCAUCAUAUUCCAAAAUAUUCUAUUAAAUCAACACCACAAAACGCGAACGCUAAACAGAAUUGGAGCAAUUUACCAAAGCUAUUUGUCACGCAAAGCACUAGUACCUCAGAACCCAAUUUGCAAAAAAGCACCAAAAAUGAAAAAUAACAAAUGCCCAGAUGAAAAAUCAGGAAAAAAAAAUGCUCAAAUCCAAAUUACAACCCCAUAAGCUGAGUCGUUCUAUUCGAACUGAAUUAAAAAAAAUUAAUUAGGGAGAUUGACCUCAAACUUUGGAAACAGAAGCGACAUCGAUCUGUUUCUUGUCUGGAGUGUCCAUUUCUAUAAUCUACUUUGUCCGUUUUCAGUUGCUCUGCCACAAAGCUUCUUCCCUCUGAAGCUGAAGCUCACACACACUUGCAAAACGAAAGCAUUUUUUAUUGAUUGAGAGGCGGGAAGGCGGGAAAAUGAGAGAAAUUUGCAUUUGUUUUGUCUUGGUUUGGUCAUACCUGUGCGGGCCCCAGCUUGACAAGCGGUAUUAUUACUAUUUGUAUAAUUUACAUGACGCGUGUCACGCAAUGACGAUAAAAUGUAUAUAUUGUUAAUUUUUCACUUAACAUUGAAUGAUUGAAAUAUCAUAUAAUUUUUCCAAUUUUAUGGUUAUUUUCUCGCCCUUAUGCCACAUUCUUUUGAUCAAAUAAUACAGUAAAACUUUUCUAUAAUCAUAAUAUUAGAGCCAAAUUAACUUUGUUUCUGUAAAGAGGCUAUAGCUUAAUAAAGGUAAAAUUAUAAAAAUUAUUAUUUUGACUCAGUUAUCUUUAGUGCAAGUGAUAUAAAGUACAAAUAUAUGAUAAUUAAUUAAUGAACUAUGUCAAAUACAAUAUGCUGACAAUGAUAAAAAAGAUAGACAUAAUUUCAAGAAACUAAUACAUAUAUUUAUGUAGUGCUGGGAUUAUACAAAAUUAUCUUAAAAGUGUAAAGAGUAAAGUAUUAUUCUAAUUAAUUUAAAAAAAUUAUUUUUUCUUAAUCUUUAAUGCAACAUAGCUUUUUUUUUUUUUUUCUUAGCAACAAAGCAUUGUUCCACAUAAUUAUUAUUGGAUUCAAAUCAUGUCCUAGGCAUUUUUUCUUCUAGUCGUCUUAAACUUUUAAUGAUUUAUUGGCAUGCGUCAAUCAUUAAUGAAAUUAAAUAACUAAGACUUUGUUUUAAUUAACGUUUACAUAAAUAGACAUCAAAACUCACAUGUGAUUCUUAUCAAAUUUUUUCCUGCAAAUUCUUUUCCUCUCAACUAUUCAUAUUUUGACAUUAAUUUCCAGCAAAUUAUUAAAAAAAAGAAGAAGCGUAAAAUGGAGAAAAGUGAUUGACAACAAGGUUUGCAUCUUAAUUUCAAAAAUUUCCUUUCUUUGUUAUUUUUGUGGGUUCUACAAUUGUUGUUUUCACUCUCAGCUGCAGUUCAAUGAACUCUAUUAAUAACCAUGAAGCUUAAUGUAUCAAUUCCAGUACGAGAAGUCCUUCUACGCAUGUUACAACACUUUUUUGUCAUUAUAGGUUGCAAAUGUUCCGUAAUGUACUCAUUCAUAUAACGGAAACGCUAUUAUCAAUAAUGAAAGUUGACUAAGUUUGUAAAUUCUAUUUAACGAAAAAGUAACAUAAAUUUAGUUGAACAAGAGGUAAUUAAUAUGUAAUCUAUGAAACUAGGGUGUGACUAAGUUACAUAGUAAUGUAACUUACAUGAACACAAAAAUAAUUAGUUUUUAAACUACAAGUAAUUUUGGAACUGCUCUUAAAUUGAUAUAAGUUUUAUUAUUAUGUAACUUAGCAAGGUCAGGUAUUUUAAUAAUAGCACAUCACUAUUGUUUCAUGUGAAUGAUGCAAUUGGAUUAGCCAAUACAUACCGUCAUCCCCGGGAGAUGCUAUGGCAAUAGCUUACUCUAUCGUGCCAAUGUCAUUAGUAUUAAUCUGUUGAACCUAAGACCAUAUCUAAGCUGAUCUAGAUUCCCCAAGAUCGCACACCACACAGUGAUUAAUGAAUCAAGAACAAUAAACCAUCAAAGAAUCGCAAACUUACAUGUCGGGUUACAUGUAAUAAAUGUUUUAAUUAUUAGAUGAUUCAUAAUGUUAGACCAUUUUUUGUAUGUUUUGUAAUCUACGUUUGAUAAUUGAAUUAGCUGAUAAACACUUGAAUAAUAUUAUUUUAUUAACUAUGUCAUUGAUCCCCAGGAAAAAAAAAAAAAAACCCAAUUUGGGAUGUUAUACAUUACUUUUUCAUUACUUCCCAUUUUAGAUUAAUAUUUAUCACAUAUAUUCUUAGUAACUUGUAACCCUUUUUGCUAAGGGUGAAAUGUGUUUGUUACCCCUUCUAUUUCUGAGAUUGUCCUUACAAUAAGGAUGCCGGCCCCAAUGUCAAAAACUGCUAUCUCUAGGUGUAAAUUCCUUAUAAAAUUCUUUUUUAAUUGAAAUUACUUAAAUAAUUGAAGAUAAAUUAUUUUUUAUUUCAUUCAAAUAAAAAAAUCAAUUAAACACUUAAAUAAGCUAUCCUUUUAAUUUUUUUUUUUUACACCCAUCCAGUUUCAUAAUUUAUAUUUAUAAUUUAAAUUUUAAUGGAAAAUAUUUUUUUGAAAAAUUUUAAGAAUUAAGAAUUAUGGGGAUAAAAAUUAUGUAAUAAGACCAAAAUAAUUUAAAAUUUUAAAAUUUGCAUGUAUUAUAAACAAAAACUUGAAAGAAAUACUCUUUUCAGGGUGAGAUUUAAUCAGAAAAAGAUUAAUUUUCAUUUAUGGAUCAGUAUUUUAUAAAUUAAACAGAGGUAUUUUAAGAAAUAGAAUUCAAAAGGCAUGGGAACAAGGGCAUGGCAUUGGGUUUCCUUUUGUUUUGUAUGGAUUGGGAAAAAUACACGGACAGACAAAGGGAACAGUCAUUAUAAUGAUGUGGAACUUGUCGGAGAUUCCCUGCCCAUUUGUAGCUUAGACUCCUGGGGUUUUGUUCAUGUCUUUUCUGUAUCCCACUUUCUCAUGCAGCAGAUGUACAUAUGAUGAGAUGAAAACAACAGCAAAAAUUGCUGUCUCAUAAGAGAAAUAGUCAUACAUAGUUGGUUAGGCCUCCAGUCCAUUAACUUAAUAAUCAAUUUUAUGAAAAUUGAUUAUCUCAUUGGAAUUACAUAGAUAUUGGAAAACAUUACUCCAGCCCCACCAUCCCAACCAUUUACUUAGUUCAUCAGUAAAAGCUGGAUUUACCAUUUGUUCUUGAGAUUCAAAUUAAGGCAACAAGUUGCUCAUUCUAUAUUAUCUAUGUAAUCCUGUAAAAGUGAAGGGCGUUUAGAUGUGGAAAAACCUUACCCCUGCCGCAACACCUCAAACAGAUUGUGAUCAGACAAGACUUAGUUCAUCAUUAGUAGUAGUUGGAGCUUCCAUUUGUUCUAGAGAUUUAAAGGCAGCAAGCUGCUUCCUCAGUGCUACUAAUUCUUCCCCGGCAUUGCAUAUGUAGCCUGAGGCUUGUCUACCAGACAAAGUUGCUCCUUCCAUACCAUCUAUGUAAUCCAGUGAGAGUGAAACCAUUUAGAAGACGUAUCUCUUUCUUUCCAAUAUUUAGAAUGAAACAAUUAUAUACAGUUACCUGUUUUGCAUAUGAGCCGGCGAGGAAGAAGUUCUUCACUGGUGUCAUUGGAUCACGUCUGAAGGGGUCUUUACCAGGUCCCUCACCACACAAAGAUUGCCCGAUUUUGACGAAAGAUGACCAAAUAACUUCUAAACCUUGGGAUGAUGGAAAUGGAGCUAAAACCUAAUAAAAGGAACCGUGAAUGGAUAGUAUGGACUCAUGUAUAUUAUCCAGAAAGUUGCAUGACCUUUUGUGGUACUCAGGUCACUAAAAAACGUGAGAUAAACAUCUAGGAUAAGAAAAGCAAAAAAGCAUAACCUAAUACGUAUUAUAUGAAUUGAAGGUGUCACUGAACGCUACCAACCUGCUUUGCCACUCUCCUUAUGAUUUCAUCAUUUGGUAAGGGCAUAUAAGGAUCUCCAGGCGUCAAAACGCAUCUGAAAGAUAAUAUGGUUAUAGUUAACAAAAUGGAAUACAAAGACACUUGGCAAAAGGAAGUCAAUCAGAUUCCAUGCACAAAAAAUAACUAAUAAUGACGAGGAUAAGAAAUUUUGCACACUGGUGCCUUCUCUAUAGUAGUCUUCUGGCGAAGUAAGUGCUAGAUCUGCAAAGCAAGAGAAAUCUGCAUCUGGAGUAUAUAAAAGGUUAUCUAACUCCACAGCUUGCCUCAAUUGCCUACAUGUUCAAAACAAGGAUCUAUUAAAAAAUGGAAAUUUCUUCAAUGAAUUAGUGAAGGUAAGUGAAGUGAAACCGGAUUUCUUAAGCCUUCACAGAGCAUCUUGUGUUUGAAUUCCGGUAACCUCAGAAAAGAUUAGAGCAUCACCUUGACCGUUCUAGGUCUUGCAACUCAGUAACCCAACCAUUGUAUCUAAGCUGCACUGUGACAACAUGAACUCCAACGAGCUCAUAAAUAUUGUUGAAAAAUUUCAUUUCCCUCCAGCCUCCACAAUGAUGAAAGCAAUCUUUUAAUUCCAGGGACAUCACAUGCUGCCAUUAAAUAAGAAGUUGAAUAAAGAAAAAUCGUUCAACUAAAUGAUUCAGGAGUUAAAACAAAAUGUAGAAGUAGAAAUAAAUAACGAAGAUUUAACCAUAAACCUGCAACAUUUGCAUCAGCUUGCACAACCUUCUUGUCAGUGGCCUGAAAUAGAAUGAGAACUUGAAAGACAGUAAGCAUAAAAGAAUAAACUCAAAGAAGCUGCUUCUUACAGAUGAUAUAAACAACAAAUUUACAAAUGUCAGGUCAUUGCAUUAGCUCCAUGCCUCCAUCAGAGGGAAUAUUAAUAGAUGCAUAAAAAAAUAAUUAGAGCCACAUGUGAAACAAUUUACCUUAGACAUGGCAAGUGCUUUAACAAAUGUUUCCCCGUUAGCAGAUUUAUCAUAAAGUAUCUCUCUGCAUCCCCACCUAAGAUGGAACCUGUUCUCACAAGAACAGAUCCCAAGGUUGGGAAAAUCAGUUCAUCAUAGGAGAAAACAAAUAUGAUUAACAAAUCGCUACAAUGGUGUGAACCCGUAAAUACAAACGUACCUGCCCCCUUUAUCUGUGAUAUAUUUUCUUAUGGGCCCACUCAAAUAUACAUCCGGAGAACCCUUGAGCAUCAGCAAUAGGGAAGCCUCGGUCUUAGUCGCAAAUAGUGCAAGUAUAGUAAGCAUACAAUGAGCACUGAUGUUAUCACAAUCAAUAAACCCAAGGGCAUACGCAACAGGAUCCCACAUUCUUUGGAUACUUGUCCGUGUACCACCCUUGGACAAAAACCAAUCAGAGAAGCUUAUGUGUAAGAAGAAAUGAAGUUUUAGGUAAAAUAACAAUUUGUAGGAACAGGGAUUGAAAUUCAACAAACAAGAAAAUAUGAUGUCAUUCUUACACUAUCCAAAUCUCAUAUGUCCUUCAAGGCUCCAUCAGGAUCAACAAGUGCCUUUACAACAGGACUCAGAGCAAGAGCAAGAGCAUUUCUUGCUUUAUCAUAAGUCUGCACUUGAGCAAUAUACCAGGCAAAGUACAUCAAAAGAGAAUCCAAAAGAGGCAAGAAGCUUCAACAUGAAAAAAGGAGUACUGCCUCAUCAUACUGCUUUGCAAUCACAGUGCAAAAGAUAACAUCAACAAAUCAAAAUCAAGCAAAAAUCCAUAUGCACUACCUUAAGCUGAUUUGUAGACAAAAGUGUGCGAAUCCCAUGUAACGGAGCUUCAAUCGGAAACCGGAAAUCAAGUUCUGGAGUUGAAAAUCAAAAUCAUGAACCAAAUCAGAGUUAUUAUUGAAUUUGACAAUCCAUAAACCAAUAGAAGGUGAUGUCAAACCAUCAAGCAUAACUACCCACCAAGCAUAACUAUUAGUAGUUUUAAGUGAUCAAGAAAUAACCAUACCACCAAUUUCACUACCCUUAUUUACAAAUGUAUGAGUAUGAUCCUUCAUGAGUAAGUUUUUGUCCGCACCUACCUGUCGAAAUGCUUGAAAAACUAUCAGAUCAUAAACACAGGCUCCAGUUAAAGAGGAUCUAUGACUCUGAUCCAUCAUGUUAUUUGAACAACAUUUUCGAAUUUUGGUACAACCCUAAGCUAUAAUCAGUUAUCAUCACUACAAAUGAUAUGGUCAAGAGGAAUGAUAGUUCUUGUUUCAAGUAUCUCAAAUCGUAAUUCUUUUGCAUGGCUUGUGUGCUUUUAUAAUCAUUCAAACACGCAUAUCCACAACUAAGCAAGCUUUACCAUUUUCAUCAAUCGGAAGAGAUUAUUGUAGCAUCCAAAGAAAAUGUGCAGACCCAUUUCAAUAUGGUUUUCAAGUUUAUCGACAAAUGAACCCACUUUACCACCAAUAAAAGACCUCGACUCAUAUAUAUCCACCUGGAAGAAAGGAAAAGUUAAAAAAAAAAAGUGUUGAGAAUUAUGUUUGAUUAAACUUAAUUCUUUCCCCAAGAAAUCUCCACACACUGAUCUUAUUGAAACAAGAAUGAAUACCCAAGAUAGUAAUCAGAAAUAAAGCAAGAGUGUUUAGACAGAAAUAGAGAUUAAAAGCAUAGAAUAAACUGGACACAAGGAGAAUUCUAGAGGUUCGGCUGGGUAGCCUACAUCCUCUUGAGAAACAGAAGCCGUAGCUUUUCUUUGAUGCUUAACAGAUUACAAGACUUAGAGAGUUUGUUACAAAGAACGUUGGUUAUCUAAACUUGGCCUUGGGGCCCUUAUAUACAGCUCUCGAAGGAUCCAGAUAAGUGUGCUGCUUGCCAGCUCUUGUUCUGGGUUUGUUGAAACAAACCCAGAAAGUUCCCGCCAAGGCUAACCAUUGAUAACAGCCUUUUAAUUAGAAACGACACUUGCUGCUGCCGUUUAACUAAAGCUUGAAUCCGUAGAUGCUCGAGCAAUUCACGUGCAUUACUUAAGCUAUUCGUGUGACAGGAUAUGGUUGUCAUAUGCGCAGCAUUAUCUGUCUGAUUGCUUUGUCGUUUCUUGAUUAAUACUAGACACGACAAAGUCAUCUUCUCCGUAAGCUCUUAAUUCAGGCUCACAAUUAACAAAAAGGAAAAAAAAUUCUUCUAAUUUCUUUCACCAUCAACAAAAUCAGAAAAACACAUACUAGUUCAAAAUAAAAUAAAGUUUGUGAAUUGAAAUAAUGCCAACUCCUAAGAAAAAUUAUGACUGCUGAUAUUUUUUCCGAAAUGCUGAUAAAAGCCUCUGCUAUUUACUUUGAAAAAAUUGAGGUUAGAAGCCAAUUUACUUGAAAUUUUGAGUUUAGGCAAGAGGAUGAAUGGUAAAAGUGAAACAUAUUAGGGAAAAAUGUACUUCAGAGGCCAAUGAAAGCAUUCAGAAGAUUGAAAACUAAAUGAGCAAAACCUCGUGGCCAUGAUCCAACAAUUCCACUGCUGUUGACAUGCCUGCAAGCCCAGCUCCAAUAAUAGCCACUUUCAGCUUUGGUCCUCUAUAAUGUUCCAGUUCUGGUGGAAACAAACCCUUGGGAGCUGCCAAGUAUACCAUCCAAUUAUCCACAGCGAUAAUGGAAAUAUAUAUGUGUUUGAAAGUACUAAAUUCCUAAACAGGAAAUGUAUCCAAAAAGAGACACAAAGCAGAAUUUCGUAAGCAUUUCAAUUCCCAAUAAAUUUCGAGAAUACAAAAUACUCGGUCUGUUCUUCAAUUCCUUUAAUAAAAUUUCCACUAGAGGCUACGCAAGCCACUCAAUAACACGCCAAAGCCAGAUUUUAAACGUUAUCUUUAUCUUUAACUCCAAUCCACAAACAAUUCUGCCAGAAAUUCAAUCCAAAAUUGUUCAAGUGCACCGCCAAUUCUCCAUCAAUUCCCUCAAAAAUUCAUAAUUGGCAAACAAUACAAACCAAAAAGAGCUUCCGGCAAUAAACGCAUAAAAAUCCACCAAGCAACAUAAAACAAAAUACCCAGAAACCAGAAAAGCCAAAAGAUCAAUGCUUGUGCAAACAAGCAAAUCAAAUAAAACAAAAAAAAGAGGAAUUUACCCUUAACGCUCAUAUCAGAAAUAUUAGUAUCCAAAGAAGCCCGUACACGGAAUCUUGGACCCUUCACUUGAACCCGAGACCAUGUAACGCCAGUAACUGAAGUUGCAGGAAACAGAACUGAAGAACCCAUAUUGCAAAUCCUGAGCUGAAAUCAAGAAUUUCAAUUGGAACUCAAUUCAGCUCAACCCAGCUGAGCUCUCUUUUGCUUCAAUAACAAAGUGUUUUUCUUUUAUAUCAACAAAGAUUUGUCAACAUCAACAAAAUUUAACUAAGAAACUAGAAUAAUAAAAGAGGGCACCUUUGAGUUUAAGAAUCUAACAGGAUGCUAAGGAAGAGAGUUUUGUCAGGGAACUGUUUCGGAGAGGUUGGCCAAGUGCUUUUUUGUUUUUUAUUUUUAUUUUUUUCUCAUUUUGGCCUUUUUCAUUAAUACACAACAUCAGUACUCGCGAAGAGCACAAAAUGUUGGUGACUUUGUCACUAACGAUAGUGGAUGGAGCGACCAAAGCAACCAACUAAAUUUUAAAGAGAGGGAAUGACAAGCAAUAUUUUAAUUGGGUGAUUAAUUAAUGUAUUAUCAAGCAAUUGCAUUUAUUUAUUUAAACGAUGUCCUUAUCUUUGGACAAGGUUGAGGAAAGACCGCGAUGUUGUGUUGUCACGUAUUUUUGGGCCGACCGUUUCCAGUUUCGGCUUAAAUGAGGCUUUUGUAUUUUUGUGCCGUUUUUUUACUGAGUAUUUUGUCCUAAAUUACACAAAGAAAAUGUGUAUUUGUUAAAAAAUCUGUUGAAACUCAGAACCUCUUAUGUGGACUUUAGAAUGCGACAGUAUUGAUAUCUAAGUUCGUAAUAUCAAGAGUGAUAAAACGGAUAAAUGAAUAGAAAUGUAAAUAAAUUUGGUUAAAAUUUAAUGGAUUCGAAUUCGGUAUGUUAUCAAACAAAUCAUAAUCUUAGGAUUUGGAUUCAAUUCAUUUAUUAAUUGGAUACCUAUUUAAUUUGUUUAUUAUACAAAAUUAAAUGAAUUGAAUUGAAUUGAAUUUAGAUUCAUUUACAAUUUGUUUAAUUUAUUUAUGUAAAAUUAAUAAAAAAUCAAUCAAAUGUGGAUUUGUUUAAAAAAUAAUAAUAAUUAAUAGCAAAAAUCAAGCAAAGUAAAAUAGAAAAAAAAUCAUAAAAUUAACAACCUACAAAAUAAAAACGAAUUAGUGACCGCAAACUUGAAUUCAAUUCAUUUAUUUAACGAAUUGAAUUGAAUUCACUUAUUUGUUAAUGAAUCAAUUUUUUUUAAAAUUCAGACCUAUUUAACUUGAAUCAAAUAAACACAUCCUAAUCUAAAUUGUCACCUCUAAAUAUGAUGGACCUAUUUAAAAUAUAUGAAUACCAAAAUGUGUGGGCUAAAAAGUGGUUUACCAUGCAACAAUACGAAGUUUAAGCUCUCUUUUCUUAUGUCAUCCAAGGCAUUGCCUGGAUCGCCAAACACUAGAGUUCAAGUCUACAAUAAAGAAUCGAAAUUUUUCUUUGUAAAUGUUCGUAAGUAUUUAGCAUAGAUUUUUAAGUUAUACUUGAUAGAUCCCCUACCAUAUUUGCUAUAAUAUUUCUCUUCUUUUAAUUUAAAAGUAAAUCAUAAUAACGGAUUUGUAAAGAAAUUAAAUUUCCAGUAAUUAACUGAAAAAAUAAAAAAGAUGGAUUAAGCGAAAGAAGUUAAUAUAGAGUAAAGUCGAGUACUUGACAAUUAAAGUAAUUUUACUCGAGGUUGAGUAAGGAUAGUAUGAUACUUUCCCAGGUUUUCCGAGGACAUUCAUGUAACAUUGGACUAUUGACUAUAGUUAGAGAGAAGUCCAAGGAUGUAAGUGAUGAUGAUAGAUUCACAAUUCUUUUGAAGAAAAUAUUUUAUAUAAACUUAAUUAUAUGGUAUAAAAUGAUUGGCCUUAAUAAAAUUAAAAAAUAAUAAAAAUAAUACACGCCUGGGUCAUGCAAUAUUUUCAACCAACUAAUUUACACGCAAAAUUAAACCUUAUGAGUGAGAACAUUAUGGUACAUUUAUAUGCUAGCAAAAACUCCGCAAAAAUUUUCCGAAAUGUGAAAAUGAACACUUUUAACAAUGACACAAAAUUCCCACCCCCCAUGAUUAAUUCUCUUAUCUGGAAUAUUAGGGGGAUUGGAAAAGCCCCUGCGGAAAUUAGUUCGAUUACAUCGAUUGUCUUUGAUUUGUGUGUUGGAGCCAUUUAUUUCCAUUGAUCGUUUAGAGGCUCUUCGGGUGCGGCUUGGGAUGGAUCAUGCUUUAUCUUCCCAAUCUGGGAAGAUUUGUGUUUCUGGUCCGCACCUUUCUCGGUGGAGCUUCUGCAUGACAUGGGCAAGGUGAUUCAUUGUCGGGUUAGUCACUCUUUUUUUCCUGAUCCUGUGUAAGUUUCAUAUGUGUACGCUAGUUGUUAUAUGGAUGUGCGAGAGAAUUUAUGGGAUGCUCUUAAGACCUUUGCGGAUAGUCAUGAUCUACCUUGGAUCGUGGGGGGAGAUUUUAAUAUGAUUCAGGCGGUCUCGGAGAUUUCUGGCGGGCAUCCACAUACUCGGGGAGCUAUUGAUGCCUUUAAUUUAGCGUUGCUUGAUUGUGGUUAGGAGGAUGCUGGCUUUGUUGGCAGUCCUUUUACUUGGACUAAUGGGCGCCCAUGGAGGCAGCUUGAUAGGGUGGUCUGCAACGCUCACUAGUAUGCUUUCUUCUCAGUAUUUCGGGUCUCUCAUCUGAAUCGUACUGCCUCAGAUCAUUCUCCUUUGCUUUUUCUUGGUGAUCGGGGCGCUGUUAGAGGACCUUCACGGUUUAAAUUUCUUCAUGUGUGGCUCAAGCAUCCAGGUUUUCUUGAUACUAUGCGGCAGUCUUGGGGUGCUCCGGUGGUUGGUUCUGGAAUGAGAGCCUUUCAACAGAAACUCACUCGGUUAAAGUUCUGCCUAAAAGCUUGGAACAAAGAUGUCUUUGGUAACGUUUUUUCUCAGGUCCAACAAGCAGAGGAGGACAUGGCUCAGAAGGAAAGAUUGUAUGAUAUUUCUGGCUCCGUCGAUUACAGAGCUAAUUUUUCCGAGGCCAGGGCCUGGUUGCAGCAUGCUUUGCUUCGUGAGGAGAUUUUUUUUACGUCAGCAGUCCAGUGUUCGAUGGGUUCGAGAGGGCGAUGCUAAUACCUGUUUUUUCCAUGCGAUGAUUCGGAAAAAGUGCCAGUUGUUUCAUAUUCACAGGAUUCGGGUUGAUUGUUUCUUAGAGUGGAUUUCUGAGCCCUCCGCCAUUGUAGAUUAUGAUGUCGAUUAUUUUCAAGAUUUAUUAACGGGAGAUGCCAGUCAGUUUCAGCAGACGGACUUCGAAGUUAUUCCAUCUCUUGUGUCUGUAGAGGAUGAUGUAGAGUUAUGUAGAGAGCCGGAUAUGGAUGAGAUUAGACAUGCGGUAUUUUCUAUUGAUCCAGAUAGUGCUCCUGGACCGGAUGGUUUUUGUAGCAGAUUCUAUCAGUCGUGUUGGGACAUCAUUUGCCGUGACUUGUUAAAUGUUGUCCUCGAUUAUUUUAGAGGUUCGGCAUGCCCAGAGGUUUCCAAAGUACUUUAUUGGUCUUUCUGCCUAAGAAGGCUUCUCCGGCUUCUUGGGCUGAUUUCCGUCCGAUUAGUCUUUGUAAUGUGAGCAACAAGGUCCUUACUAAGUUGCUUGUCCCAUCUCCUGCCUCACAUUAUUUCUCAUACUUAGAGUGGUUUUGUUCCUGGUCGAGUGAUUCAUGAUAACGUGCUCCUGGUUCAGGAGUUCGUUCACGAUCUCAAUCGCCAUAGUCGAGGGAACAAUGUGGUGCUGAAAUUAGAUAUGGCCAAGGCAUACGACGUAUGUCAUGGCCUUUUAUUAUUCAGAUGAUUCACUGUUUUGGGUUCUCGAAGCGUUGGAUUUCUUUGAUUCGGCGAGCGAUUUACGGUCCUUAGUUUUCAGUGCUUAUGAACGGGGUCAGUAACAUAUAUUUCUAGUCCCAGAGUGGUCUUUGGCAGGGUGAUCCCCUUUCCCCUUGCUUAUUUAUUAUUGCUGCAGAAUUUUUAUCUCGAGGCUUGGAUCAUUUGUAUUCUCAGUAUCCCUCUGUUCGGUAUUGUUAUACUGCACCUACUUCUAUCUCCCACUUGAGUUUUGCGGAUGGUAUUGUUAUUUUUGCAAAUGAGAGCCGAUCUAGCUUACAGUGGCUUGUGGAUUUCUUACACCAUUAUAAGGUGAUCUCAGGGCAGUUGAUUAGCGAGGACAAGAGUAACUUCUACAUUAGGAAGUCAGCUUCGACCUCCCGCUAGGCCAUUGUUCACUCUGUGACUAGCUUUCAGUGACGUCAGCUUCCGUUUACUAAUCUUGGGUGCCUGAUCUUUACAGGGUACCUCAAGAUCUCCUAUUUUGAUGACAUGGUCCGGAAGGUCAAGGAUAAGAUUUCUGGCUGGGCUAACCGUCUGCUUUCCUUUGGUGGGAACCUCGUCCUCAUUCGCCAUGUGUUAUCCUCUAUGGCCCUGCACUUAUUUCACGUCCUCCGCCCUUUUAUAACGGUAGUUUAACGCCUAGAGCGAUUGUUCACCCGAUUCCUAUGGGGUGAUUUUGAGGGAAGACACCAGAUCCACUAGUGUAGAUGGCCAAAGGUUUAUUAUCCAGUUGACGAGGGUGGCCUCGAUAUACGAUCUUUUGAUGAUAUGGCGGAGGCUUUUGAGAUUAAACUUUGGUGGCGGUUUUGUCAGCAGAGUUCCUAUAUGAAGUCUAAGUAUUGCAGAUCUACGCAACCAAGCCUUAUCCAGUUUCGCUAUCUUGCCUCUCCUUUAUGGAGACACCUUUAUAAGAUUCGUUGCACGGCUAAACCUCAUGUGCGUUGGCUCGUUGGGAGUGGAGAUUGUAGCUUCUGAUAUGAUUGUUGGCUGAGUUCUUGCCCUUUAUUUUUUUAUAACCCUACAGCGGCUUUGUCGGUGCCGGUCUAGUUCUUUGGCAGGGUACAAUCUGGGACAGAGGCAAACUAAGGGACGUCUUGCCUUCAUCUAUUGUUGAGCAGAUCCUAUUAGUGCCUAUUUCUAGUGGGAAUCCAGACCUGAUUCGUUAGGACCUUGCCCCCGACGACACGUUUAACUUGCGGACUGCUUGGGAGCUUGUACAGUGCUCUAGGUCGAGGGAUGAGCUUUUCUCGAUGAUUUAGUAGAGGCAUAUCCUGUCACGAGUUUCCUUUUUUCUCUGGCAGCUACUUCACGGAUUCCUAGCUACUGAUGAUGCCUUAUACUUGAGGGGUUUCUAUAUGGUUUCUCGAUGUAUUUGUGGGCGGGUUGCUGAGACUUCUCGGCAACUUUUUAUGGAUUGCCCGCGGGCCCGUCAUAUUUGGGUUCAUUGCCAGCGGAUCAUGGGGAUGCGUGAGCUUUAUUUUCUGUCUCCCCGUGCUUUGCUUUUAUUUUGGAGACAUUGUGCCCCUUCUCGGAAUCAUCAUCGGGUCCUUCUGCCUUACUUCAUUUUGUGGCAAAUUUGGAAGGCCCUAAAUGCUUUCCAGUUUCAUUCACAGUCUUUCUCCACUGAUGCGGUUAUCUUUCAGGUCGACUCUGAUCUCAGGCUCGCUAGUUCUGCUUUUGGAUUCAAGCCUCCCCAACUGAGGGGAGUCUUGGGUUCUCGUAUUGCGGAGGGCUUGCGAGUUAUGGCUCCCCCUAGGAGGUCGAUUCGUCUAGUUGCUUGGAUGAGGCCAACUUCAGGGGUGGCUAAGCUGACUGUGGAUGGUUGCUCUGGGGUCAACCUUGGGAUGGCUGCUUCCAGGGGUAUUCUUCGGGAUCACCGGGGCAUGGUUUUAGCGGCUUUUGGAUCCUUUUUGGGUUACAAGCCGAUCUUAUAUGCUGAGCUCAUGGCGGUGUGCGAGGGUUUGGAGCUUGCCAUUCAGCUUGGGUACUCAGUGCUCGAGGUUGAGUCAGACUCGGCUAUGGUGAUGUCAUGGAUUCACACCUCAGGGUCCUGUUCGAUGGGAAUGUUCUUAUUCUCUACGCCGGGUGUGCCGUCUGGUAACGUCAUUCCCCAUUCAGGUGAGACAUGUUCUUCGCGAGGCUACUUAUGCUGCUGAUUUUCUAGCCAACUGGGCGCGCACUCAUCGGACUAGCCGGUGUUUCUUAUCUCCUCGAGAGCUUCCCAAAGGCUUAUCUGGUAUUCUUUACUUAGAUCCCCACGCAAUCCCCCAUGUCAGAUGUUAGGAUUUUAUCUUUUUCUUAUAUCUCAUUUUCUCUAGGAGGUUUUGGCUUAUAUCCCCCUCCUUUAUAUCUAAUUCAUUUUCAGAUUUAUAUUAUAGGUAAGGGUUCCGCCUAGCUCCCACCACUCUGGUGGUUUUAAAAAAAAAAAAAAACAAUGGCAUAAAAUGCCUGUGAUAAUGAAACAAUGUGCCAUCCUUAAACUAAUAUCAUUACAAACUACAAGUGAAAGUUUUUGGAAAACAUUGAGAAGUUUUUCUCGGAAUUUGUUUUCUUCUUUGCUUUGAUUUAAGCGUAAAUUUUUAAAAUCCGUAACAAAACAAAAAUUUACAUGGGUUGGGCGCACCUUGUGGUUCGUGCAUGCUUUCGUCUAAUAGUAUUUGAUACAUACAAAUUCAUUUUAAAAUUGACGAAUCGUAAUAAAAAAAUUUAUAUAUAAUAAUUGAGUGAGAUCCAUGGUUCACAAUUGCAAAUUAAUGGUUGGUUUUAUAAUAAAAAUCUUUAUGUACAUACCAAAUUAGAAAAGGUUAUAAGUGAAUUAAGAUUUUCAAAAUUUGACUCGUAUUAUAUUAUGUACGUCAAUAUAAUAUAAAUUUGUUAUAUAUAUAUAUAUAUAUAUCCAAUGCUUUCAAAAACUUUAUACUUGUUUGAACAGAUUUUUUGCUUUCUAUUUGUAUACACAAACACUUUUUUAGGACACAUGUAUAAUUAAUCUUAAUAAUUCUUAUACAAUCCUCUAUUUAAGACCAGCAACGUCACCCAUUAUAAUUUAUCACUAAAUAUUGUAAAACUAUUGGUUUUCACGAAUAACUAAUAAAAAUUAUUUUUUUUGUAAGAAAAAUACUGCGAUUCCUUUCACUGUUGUAGUAGUAUAGUUAUCGUGGACGAUGAAUUUCUAGUAUUGUACAAUGAUAUUUAUGUUGAAUGUUUAGGGAAUGAAAUAGGGUGACCAAGAUAAAGGGGUUUGCUCAUACAUUAUCGUGCUCUCCUCAAAGCAAAAGUGAGCAAAUGGUUGAGCAGAUCAUCUCGACCAGAAUAAUAUGUGGUGACCUCGAGUACAGCACCUCGACCAGGAUGUUAUUGGUCACCUCGACCAGGAUGUUAUUGGUCACCUCGACUAGGAUGUUAUUGGUCACCUCGACCAGGAAGUCACCAGGAAGCACGUCAUCCGCGAGGCCAAUUUCCUGUAAGAAGCAUAAAGCCAUUCCUGCUGCAUUCUUGCUAAGGGUUGAUUCGAGGAGACCCGGUCAACGACAGUUGGCGAGGCAUGCUCUCCAGCCCGAGAAUCUAGGCACGAAGGCCACGCAACCACCCAUGACUACGGAAAUGGGGAAUCCACAUUCGAGAGGUGGGAGGACAACGGACAUAGACUGCGGAAAACUGGGAUUCAGAGGAAGCCUAUAAAAAGGUAGCCAACGAAGGUAAAAGGGUUAGCAAUUUUGAGAUUAGAAGAGAGCUAAAGAAAUUCUAAAGAAGAGAAAACUAUGAAAAAGCCAUAAGAUCUGUGGCAAGCGUUCCCCGAACCUUCAUAUCUGACUUGAGCGUCGGAGGGUUUGCGCCGGGAAAACAACCGGCGUACUCUGACUUGUCUGUGUGCGCAGGAACCUCUGGAGAAGAAGCCUUACGAGGAGACCUUCUGGUCGUGGUGAAGUUGAUCGAGCAGAGAUCCUGGUCGUAUAACGAGGAGAACCAGAAUCUCGCAUCAACAUUUUGGCGCUGUCUGUGGGGAAUGGUACAAAAAGCCAGCUUGUUAUCUUUAUCAAUCUUCAUCUGGCCGAAGUGAAGGCAGAAUAUUGCGGUGCAUAAAUGGAUGAGCUUGCUUAAACAAGGAAGCAAAAACCUUAAAGGAGAGCACAUUGAAAGCACACGUUUGUAAAAAUCAGAACAGGUCAGAAGUUAAAUUCUUAUUUACAAGCAAUUUUUUCAUGAAAAUUUAAUUAUUUCUCUAAAUCCUGCUAUGUGAGAUGAGGAGCCCUUAUAUUCAUUAAAUUGAUUGUGCUCAUAUUAAGGCUGACUGUAUAACUUAGUUAACUUGAUUUCUUGAAAGCUAUUCAAUAUGAGAAUGAUUUAAGAAAAUAGAGCUAGGCUAGCGUUGAGAAACCAAUCAAAGCUUACUAAUAAGGCAUGCAAAGGCUCCAAAGUCUCAAAGCCUGUCUUAUGGCGAGACAGAAGCCAAGCGUGCCAGGAUCUGCUCGACCACGAGAAGGCGAGUAGAAUCCCAAUCCUUGAAGAAUUUGAAGGCAUGCAAAGGCUCACCAAGUCUCAAAGCAUGUCUUAUGGCGAGACAGAAGCCAAGCGUGCCAGGAUCUGCUCGACCACGAGAAGGCGAGCAGAAUCUCAAUCCUUGAAGAAUUAAAGGCACGCAAAGGCUCAUCAAAGUCUCAAAGCCUGUCUUAUGGCGAGACCAGAAGCCAAGCGUGCUAGGAUCUGCUCAACCAAGCGAAGGCAAGCAGACUCCCAAAUGUUGUAAAAAUUCCUAAGGCAUGCAAAGGCUCACCAAAGUCUCAAAGUCUGUUUAUGGCGAGACCAGAAGCCAAGCGUGCCAGGAUCUGCUCAACUAAGCGAAGACGAGCAGACCACCAAACUUUCAAAAAAUUCCUAGGGCGUGCAAAGGCUCCAAAGUCUCAAAGCCUGUUUUAUGGCGAGACAGAAAGCCAAGCAUACCAGGAUCUGCUCAACCAAGCGAAGACGAGCAGACCACUAAAGUUUCCAGUCUUGAUUCGUUUCACUCUCAAUACUAGAAACUGGGGGACUGGUGUUUAGGGAAUGAAAUAGGGUGACCAAGAUAAAUGGGUUUGCUCAUACAUUAUCGUGCUCUCCUCAAAGUAAAAGUGAGCAAAUGGUUGAGCAGAUCAUCUCGACCAGAAUAAUAUGUGGUGACCUCGAGUACAGCACCUCGACCAGGAUGUUAUUGGUCACCUCGACCAGGAAGUCACCAGGAAGCACGUCAUCCGCGAGGCCAAUUUCCUGUAAGAAGCAUAAAGCCAUUCCUGCUGCAUUCUUGCUAAGGGUUGAUUCGAGGAGACCCGGUCAACGACAGUUGGCGAGGCAUGCUCUCCAGCCCGAGAAUCUAGGCACGAAGGCCACGCAACCACCCACGACUACGGAAAUGGGGAAUCCACGUUCGAGAGGUGGGAGGACAACGGACAUAGACUGCGGAAAACUGGGAUUCAGAGGAAGCCUAUAAAAAGGUAGCCAACGAAGGUAAAAGGGUUAGCAAUUUUGAGAUUAGAAGAGAGCUAAAGAAAUUCUAAAGAAGAGAAAACUACGAAAAAGCCAUAAGAUCUGUGGCAAGCGUUCCCCGAACCUUCAUAUCUGACUUGAGCGUCGGAGGGUUUGCGCCGGGAAAACAACCGGCGUACUCUGACUUGUCUGUGUGCGCAAGAACCUCUGGAGAAGAAGCCUUACGAGGAGACCUUCUGGUCGUGGUGAAGUUGAUCGAGCAGAGAUACUGGUCGUAUAACGAGGAGAACCAGAAUCUCGCAUCAACAUUGAAUAUAACGCUUCAAUGAAUUUUAUUACUAUAUACUAAAAUACUCAACGAUCUUCAUUAAAAAAAAAAAAAUUGCAUGAUUAGAAUGAUUAAAGUUCAUCUAAUGACUAGUUUCAUCAUUGACUCUGUCGAAACACAGCAGCAAUCCAGAAUACAUUUAACACGAGAGGCGCAGACAAACAUGCAUGAUGAAUCUUCCACCAUUAAACCUGAAAUCAUAAAAUGAAAGAAACCAGAUGAGUGUUGUUUGUCUGAAAGCCGAUUCGAGAAAAAUAAUAAUAAUAAUAGACCUUUGUUAAUAAUUAAUACUAGUUGUCACUACCUUGUGCAUCUUCCUCCUCUGUAUCAUCGUCCUCUUCCAAUCACACCGCAAGACCAGUAUAUCUCGAGAAUCUUUACUGCCUUCUCACAGAUCCCAUUGCUGUCAUGUCUUUUUAGAUCUUCAAUCAUUUUGAAUCCCUCAGCCGCCUCCACCAACCGUGCAUAAUGAUUAAAAUAUCUAUUGGCGGUACCCGUAUUCAUUUCAGCUUCCCCGACCUUCAAAAUGUUCUCUAAUCCUUUUAAGCAAAUAGUGACGAUCUCUGGAUCAGCGUAUAGAAGGAGAUCACACAAUGGUUUUAUACACCCCUUUCUCACGAGGUACUUGAUUUGCUCAUGAGUACCACCUGAGAUGGCAUUUGAAAUUGCCCGAGCGGCCUCCUUCUUUGUAAAAAAUUCAGCAUUUUGAAGCAGAUCGACAAGGGGACCAAUUACGCCAGCAUCAAUUACCACCUGAAUCUGUUCCCUGUUACCAGCUGUAAUAUUUGAAAUAGUCCUGCAUGCCUCUUUCGCAAUGCCUGUACACUGAGUCAGGAAACCAUCUCCCUUCACAAUAUAUCUGACAGUCCACAGGGGAGGAGUGAGCCCGAAGGGGAAGGGUAAUGGAUGAAGAAGGAGCUUAACAAGUCGUGGACAGACAUCUGCCUCGAUCACAGCUUGAAUUUUGUCAUUCGUACCAUCAGAUAGACAGGAUAGUGCCUCGCAGGCAUAUCUCAAGACAUCGUUGUCAUUUGAAUGAACAAGUUGUGCAAGCGCAGGAAGAGCUGGCCUCACCUGAUCAAAUGGUGGCUCUGGCUUGCCCUGGCAAAAACGAGACAAUGUCUUUGUGGCAUUUCUUAGCAUUGAAGGCUUAGCAUGCUUAUUUAACUGUGCCAGCAACGGAAUCAAAGCUUUUUCACUGAGCACAAGAUCACGGUCUCUAGGUGAGCUACGAGCAAUAUUUCCCAGUGCCCAAACAGCCUUCUCUCGGACAUCAUCACUUGGAGAAGAAAGUAGCUUCACAAAUAUUGGAACAGCACCGCCGUCGAUCACCACAUUAGUAUUCUCAGAAGCAAUGUUUGUAAGAGCCCGAGCAGCUUCCAACUGAAGCUGCGGAUUGUCUUCCCUAGUAAGAAACUCAACAAAGCGCGCGACAACGCCAGAUUGUAUGACUUUCUCACUUGGUGGUAGGAGCAGUUUUCGGAACCAAGUAGUUGCUUCCAGCUGCAAGCCACUGUCAUCUGACCAAACCCCAGCAAGCAUCCCGGGUAAACUCACCAACUUAUUUUAGGAGCAGGAGCAGGAGGAGGAAAUUAAGUUAGGGAUUUAGAGUGAGAGUGAAGGUGGAGAAAAAGCAAGAGAGGGAAAAAGCUUAUUGUUGAGAAAUAUGUACCUUUUGUAUGGUUGUGUUAAGGUCGUCCUUCCAAGCCCAACAUGCUUCACCAUGCCGCUCCACUUUGUGUAAUUUGGGUGUACUUAAUUUUCCUUCAGAGAAAAUCUUCAUAUCGGGGCAAUCAUCCACCACUAAUCUUUCUAAAGAUGGGAACUUGAAAGCACAAUUGCCAGAGCAGAAGCUUGUCAGGCUUUCUAAGUCUACAAGCUUCAACUCCUUCAAUUCUCUGAAAGUAAUAACCUCAUCUUUUGCUACAACAUCAUCCCCCAGUACUAUUUCUGUUAUCCUAUCGCAUGAUUUUAUCUUCAUAUAUCUAAGUUGCACCAGAGUCUUUGCAAUUAAGGAUGUUAAUACGAUUUUCAAGUUGUUGCAACGCGAUACCACCAUAUUUGUAAGAUUCUGAAAGGAUGUCGACGGUGGCACUAGAUUGACUAAAUGGUCACACCCCUUUACACGUAGAAUAACCAAGUUGUUCGUAACAGAGGACUCCCUUAUCAAAAUGUGCUCCAGAUGAAAUGCUUCUCUUAUUUCUACCCACAUCCCAUUUUCAACCUUCUCAUACGGCAACGAGGCACUAUAUCCUCCUAUUUGGAGGACUUUCAUUGUGUGAAGUCUCUGGAGGAAGUCACCAAGUGAUAAAAUAGUCCGCUCAUCACCCAACGCCACAAAAAGAUAUUUUAGUUUGCAAAGCAAGCCUUCAGAAAAUAGAUAUUUAUUUGUUACUGUGUACUUUGCACGAACUAUCAACUUUUCCAAAUUAGGGAAUACCUGGGAGAACGAUCAGAACCCCAAAAAAAAGAAAAAAAAGAAAUACAAGAUGAAUCAAUUGAUAAGAAAUAUAAGUUGCCACUAAUUUAUACAAUAUAUUUUAUUCAAUAAAUCUUAACCUUUAAAAAAAAAUAGUAAUAAUAGUAUGCCUAACAUCUAGAAUAAUUAUGAAUGAAUACUAUACACUAAUCUGUAAGAGAGUUACGUUGCUGACAAUUUGAGUUUUAGUAAGAAACCAAGCGAUGAAGGCAAAGGCAAUAUAACUCUAAACUCUAUGAUAUAAACUCUCACAGUACAUACAUAAGAAUUGAAAAAUUGAUUAUAAAAUUCUUGUACGUACCCUUUCCGUGAAGAUACUAGUAGUUCUCACCAUGAAUUCAGGACAUUUAGAUAUCCGUAAUUCUUUCAAGGAUGGAAAUUCAAGAAUAUCAAGAUCUCCAGUGCAGAAGCUUGUGAACUUUUCAAGAUCAGACAUCUUCAGAUAUUGCAACUGAGGAAACAUUACAAUAUUUUUCUUCCUUUCUUCUUGGUUGUCCAUAACUAUUAACUCUUCCAAGACAGGACAUCCGACUAUCUCAAUGCAUUGGAGUUGAACAAAGCUACUAACGGUAGAAGAUGAAAAUAGACAUCUUAAAUUCAUACAGCAGGACAGGGUCAAGCGCGUUAAAUUCUGAAUACCACAAGACAUGACUGCAACUUGGUUUUGCCAAAUCCUUUCAACAUUUAUUGAAAGCAAAUGCAACUUCUCUAACUCUGGUAACCGAACCUGCUCGAUCAAAAAAUUAACUCGUUAAUUACAAGCAACAAUGAUUUCUGUUGAUGGACAAAUCAAUAAAAUUACUCUUUCUCUGGUUAUAGUUCUUUUCAGUUUUUCAUACAAACAACCGUUAAUCAAGUUUUCCAAAUUAUUCCUUACUAAAUGUAUAGAUUUAGACGGCGGCUAAUAUAAUUCAUAUUGCAAAUAUUCUUUGAUUGUAACGAAUUUUGUAAUAUUAAAUUUUGGCUGAUUCGCAAUAGGACCUACUAUCCAGCGCGAGCAGUUCUCGUGGAUUUAACUACUGGCACCUCGAUUAUAUAAAAAUUUGGAAUAUUUUCAAAGGAAAUCACAUAAUUUCCCCUUGCAAAUAGUAAUUAUCAUUAAUUGCCGCGGGUUGACAUAUAAUUCUAAGAAAUUAGGCGAGAAGAGUCUCAUCAACAAUCAAUCAGCAGAUAUCACGUUUGGCAGAUCAUCAUGAUUUCCUCAUAUGCUAGAGAAUCAACGUGAUUUCCGCUCAUGCAGGAGCAGGAGUGGACACAUUAUCUUAGAGCAUCCCUCACUGAGAUCUUUUAAAAAAUUUAUAUUAUAAAGUGAACAACAUAUUAAGUAUAGAUUUAGACGGCGGCUAAUAUAAGUUAUAUGUAUUCUAAUGACGUAUAUUAAAGAAAAUGACUAACCAUAAUUUCAAUCAACUUAUUAGUCUAUAUAUAUAUAUAUAUAUAUAUAUAUAUAUAUAAUAUAAUAUAUUCAGUGAUUACAACAUAUUUAGUAUUCCAUAACAUGAAGUUUAUAAUAAUAAUUAUUAUUAAUUCACUUAUUGUGUCAAGAACAUUUUCUUUCUCUAAGAAUGAAUUUGUUACACCCUACUAUACUACGGAUGAAAAAUUUAGAAUCAUUAUGAAAUAUAAUUAUUAAUCACUCUUUGCCAUAUUUGCGACCAAAGAAGAAUAUAACAAAGAAAAGAAACAAAAAUUAUAGAGAAUUAAUGAGACCAUUGACGUAUUAAUAACUGACCUUCCCAGUGAAACGCGUAUUAGAAAUUUGGAUAUUGUCCUCCAAAAUGAUUUGAUGUGACUGCAAAUCAUUAGCUGAUUCCUGUUGUCUCUGUUGACAUUGAGUGUAAACUUAAUUGUGAGCACAAUCUUAAUGCAUAGAUACAAGAUCUUUAAAAAUUAGUAUAAUAAACUUAGCACAAAAUCCAAAUUUGAUAUUUCGGAUUCCAUGAUUAAGAUUUUUUAAAUAAAAAUUUAAUAGAGUUAAUUUAAAAAUAAAAAUUAAAUAUGAAAAAUUAGAUUUGCAAUUAUGGAUUUAAUUUUGAUAAAUAAUGAAUGUUCUCUUUAUAUUUUUUUUUAAAGGUAAAACAGCGUACAAAGCCCAAAUUCAUUUUUUUAGUCCCUUACUCUCCCAUGAUUCAAACUUGGGUGGUUGUAGGGGGACUGAAAAUAUAUAAGACAGUUAACUUCACUUUUUUUUUUUUUUUUUUGAGAGAAAAGAGAAGAAGGAUAUUACAAAGCACGAAGCUCGUGCAAUAUAAGGGCAAUUAUGGUUUUUUCUUUAAAUUAAAAUGGUAAGAUUCUGAAGCUAAAAGAUUAAAAUAUUAAUUAAAUUGCAAACAUUAAAGAUUUUUUUUCCAAAAUUGGUUGCUUUGAAAAUGAGAAUAAUAUAAUGUUUGAAGACUUUUCAAAAUUAAUUACUGUGAUGCACUAGAAAUUUCUAGCUUUAGUCUAAUGUAUAAAUUGACAAAACGUAUUAGAAUCCCAGGUGAAAAGAACCCUCUCACACCAAUUAUUUAAAUUAGGAAUGAUCAUACCUGUGGCUCUGCCGAACUGAGGGCGAGGCCUGAACCCCUCAUCUCGAGACGCUUGAGAUGGGAAGAGCCCACUUUGACUAAUUCAUUACGAAAAUAAUCGACAUCUUGCUCUUGCAAUCCACAUAACUCUAGGUCUUCAAUUCUCUGCAGUUGCACGACUAGCGAAUCCUUCAAGCGAAUCUGGUCAUAUAGCUCGAGUCUGAAUUCACGACCCCAAAUGCCGGUGCUCCCCCAAAACCGACCUCCAAUGCUUAUUCUGUACCUUUCCAGCUUCUCCAAGAACAGGCCUCUGGGCAGAGUGCUGACGUCAUGGGUGUCUAAUUCCAAAGAGGUCAAGUUGGGCAAAUGCUUCAACUCCUCAAGGCUUGCAUUCUUAACCCCUUCCACCUCCACCUCCCAAUUAUGAAAGCUUUUAGGACCUAUAUAUAGUUCUUCUAAAUGGGAUAAUUUUGACAGUAUAUUUGGUGGAAUAACUUCUGGUCCCCAACAAUCCCUCAAAUCAAGCAACUUUAGCCAAGUCAAUUCACCUACUUCUACCGGCAACUUAUUAAUAUAAGAACCUCUUAAGCAAAGGAUUUCUAGUUUCUUCAAGCCUCCUACAACACUUAUAUCGGGCAAGAUGAAGCCGCACAAACUCAGUGUUCGAAGGUUUGACAGGAGACCAAGUGAUGAAGGCAGUGACCGUAGAAACAUGCCAGUCAAGUUGACAACUCUGACCUGCAUCAUCCUCUCGAAAAAGUUGUUUGGAAUUGUUAAUGAUGAAAAUUCCCAACGAUCAGCACGUAUAAAAAGAAGUUCGAGCUGAGGACAUUCCAGUACUUCAGGAAGCAAAUUAUUCUUGAUACCAUGUAAGACGAUUGAAGUGCAAUGCUUUAUUGCACUUCCGUCUGACCAUUCCCUGCAACCAUCAACCUGCUCAUUUGUAGCAGUAAACACAUUUCGUUCAGUAGAUGCAAUUGAUAUGGCGACAUCGCGAACUACAUCAUGCAUAGAAAACAACUCUUUCUUCUGGCUUAUAUGGUCAAGCAACAUACAAGAAGCUUUGAGUGUGCGCACCAAUGUAUGUACUCGAUUUCGUGCUACUUCAAUCUUAUUCACACCUUGAAAUAAACCCAAUCCCAUACCACACAUUAACAAGUCAUCAAUAGAUGUUAUGGCUGUAUAUCCUAUUAGCAAAAAGAUGUUCUUGAGAUCAUCCCUUCCUAGUUUAUUGUAGCUCAACUCGAUAGCAUUAAAUGCGGCUGGCUGUACAUCCUUAAAAUUCGAUGAAGAAGGCCUUCUUAGCUGUUCCAAUGCAUCCUUCCAUUCACGUAUGCUCUUGCUCCUUAAUGCCCUUGCAACCGUCACAAUGGAAACUGGUAGACCUGCACAUUCCUUUGCCACAUCCCUUGCUACCUCUUUCAAUUCAUUAUCUUCAACAUAAUCACCUGCCAUCUUCGUGAAUAGACUCCAAGCUUCAUCUUCUUUUAAAAAUCCAACUGGGAAAUUUUUUCGAGACUCCAUCUCUCCAGACAAUACUUCUUCACUCCUUGCCGUGAACAGCACUUUACAUCCCAUGUGAUCAUCUCCGUGAGGAAUUCCGACAUCCAACAAAUCAAGAUUUUCCCAAAUAUUAUCCAAGAUUACAAGGAUCCUCUUCUCUUUCUUCAGUCGAUCAUAGAGUCUUCUUGCCCUACCCGAUUCACUCUCCUCAUCAAAUUUUAGACCUAGUUUAUCCGCCAUUUCUCCUUGAAUCUUUCUUACGUCUCGACUCUCAGACACCUCAGAAAAAACCACCUGAUCGAAAAGUUUGUCACACUCUGCUUUUCUAGCAACUUCUUUAGCUAGCGUCGUCUUUCCGAUUCCGCCCAUUCCAUAAAUCAAAAGCAUGUUGACAUUGGGAUUUUUUAAUGCAUCAAUUAUUUCAUUCAGAAUGGACGUUCUUGAUUCAAAGGCCUCGAAGUCUUUGUUAGGCAUAAGCAAGGUAUCCUCCGGAAUGAUGCUGUAGGAAAUACUAUUAACUGGUCUAGCGUCCAGGACUUUGACAACAGCCUCCUUCUGCCUCUCUGCUUCCUUGCUAAGUCGAGGGCGGGUCUUCAAAUUAGGACAUAACCCCUUGAAACAACGCUUAUUUGCAGUGGCUUCAUCUUCUGUAAAUUUAUCUGCCUCUUCAAUGACACUGUUGGCCGUUGCAAGCCAAUUCUCAACGUUCUCUUCAAUCUCUUCUCCUUUUCUUUUAGCCUCAUCAACCUGGUGCUCUGUAUUCACCCUCUCAGACUUUAGUUUCACAACUUCAGUGUUGAGAUUCUGUAAGUUGCUCGUGUACUUACUCUCACGCAAAUAGCUAAUUUGGCGAUAUGCGUGAGGAGCCAAGCACUUUGCAACUUCUGAAGCAAUAGUAAGAAUGAUUUCAGCCAUCUUCAGUCCUUUGUCCUUGUCUCUCUAUCUCUCUUUUUCUGAAUUUUGGAAAAACAAUUCAACCAAGUGACCACAACAAGAUGGAACAAAAUAAAAAGGAAAAAAAAUACAAAGAGUGGAUGGAGAAUAAAACAGAGACAGCGGCACAGCUAGACACAACUAGAUAGAGAACAGAGGAAAACCAAAUAACAAGACUUAAGAUUACAACAAACAGAGGCCAAGUAUUGUUGAGAUCAGAAGAUGGAAAAUUCAAAAGAGUUGAUGGCAGAUGCUGAAUAACAGAACAACAAUGAACGCAAUAAACAGAAGCAAAGUGUGUUUGUGAUCGACAGACGGAAGUAAGGAAAAGCGGUUGUUGAUUGAAAAUGAAUGAAUGCAAAGAAAGACUGAUGUUAAAAAUUGAUGUCAAUAGCGAAGGAAUAAUUGAACUUUCGCUGAAUUAUUGUUUGUGGCUUCUUUUACUGUUUAUUUGUGGGUCAUGUCUUUUGGAACUAAUCUUGUCCAAAAAAUGUUGUUUAUUUGUGGGUCAUGUUAUUCAGCAUCUGCCAUCAACUCUUUUGUUUAUUUAUUCAAAAAAUAAAUUGUAAUUAUUUGUUAAUGUAUGCGAUUACUUGUGAUGGUAAACAAAGUAGAUAUGGUAUAUUUUGAAGUUAAAUUAAAAAAAAAAAAACCAGAGCUUUUACCAUUACUUGUCUUAUCAUCUUUUAAAUUAGAGUUAUUAUUCUUUUAUUUUUCAAGUUGCCAACUCAUCCGCAUUCUCUUUUAUUGAAUUUAAAGAUCAGUGAUUAUAAAUUUGUGUAAAAAUUUUAAGUCAAAACUUUAAAUUAAAAUAAUCUCUAAGUUAUAGGGAAAUAAUAACUUAGUAUAACAAAUAUUAUUUCCUAUACUUUAUUGAUACAAAAUUACAAAAUCUUAUAGUUUCAAAAAUAAAAAUUACGAAACCUUAUAUUAUAUUAUGUUUCCCUAUUUCCCCUUUAUAGUGAAGACUCAUACUUCUUCUCUAAUAAAUGCUAAAGUAUUGGCUUAAUUUUUUUAACCAGCAUAGUAGACCCUUAAGCUAUAUAUACUAUAAUGUCCCUCUUCUCUCACAGAUUAAACCAAUCUGAUCUCAGAGUGAGUUGAUAUCAUGACUUUGCAUCAUUCGUGAUCAAAGGAGUAUCAUUACUAACUAAUAUAGGCUCCAUCAAUAGGCAUGAUAAUAAUUUUUUUUUAUCUACAAACAUUGUUUUUCAAAAUAUUAUAUCUUAAGACUUAACUAAAUAUUUUUUUAACUAUGUAGAUAUAGUUUGUUUGAUCUCUUUUAAAUAGUGGAGAUUACAAACAAACAUAUGCGAAUUAGUAGUGAUGUUGAGUACAGAAGCUUGAAGUUAAAAAAAUUAAGGGUUUCUUGAUCUAGAGAGAUUUCAAAUGAGUGAAGCGUCCUCGAAAUCGGAAGACGAAAAUAAGGAAAGGGUAAGGGUGUAUUUUCAAAAUGAUUCUAUUAGGAGAUCUUUGAAGUAGGGGCGGGCAAGUCGGGUUUCGGUUCGAGUUGUUCAAGUUUCGGUUUGGGUUUCAACCUAAUCAGGUUUGAGAAUUAAACCCAAUCGGGUUGAAAACGCCAACCCAAACUAAACCGAACCGAAUUUAAUUUAGUUCGGGUUCAUAAUUCGGAUCGGACUGGGUUGAUAACUCAUGUUAAAAUUUCGGUUCGGGUUAAUUUGGGUUAGAAUAAUUCAAUCUAAAAUUUUGGGUUAGUUUGGUUUAAAACGGGUUGGAACAAUUUAAUCCAAAAAUUCUACCAACAACCACUUAAAAUCCAAAAAUCUCAAUUCCAAACAUCCUUAACAACAAAUAUUAACUACAAACCAUCCUUGACAACAUUUCAACAAUAACAAUAACAAUAAUAACAACAACAAUAAUGAUAAUAAUAACAACAACUAUGAAUCAGCAAUUCAGCAUAUUGCCAUAUUCUAAAUUUUAAAAAACACACAAAUUAUUUAAUUAAUUAAUUAAUUAACAAUCUCCAAUUUAAUUUAUAAUAACAGCAAAAAUCCUCUCCAAUUUAAUUAAUAACAGUCUCCAAUUGUUCAAUUAUCAGUCAACAGCAACAAAUCCACUCCAAUUGUUCAAUGAACAGAUGUGGAUUAGUAGAGUUGUUGAGUUCAGAAGAUUGAAGUUAACAAAGGGUUUCUUGAUCUAGAGAAAAUUCGAAAGAGCGAAGUGUCUUCGAGAUCAAAAGACAAAAUAAGGAAAGGGUAAGGUUAUACUUUGAAAAUGAAUCUGUUGAGAGAUCUUUGAAGAUUACUUCCGUUAAGAGCUGGAUCCCACACUUGAGUCUUCGUCGUCUCAGUCAGUCAGCUGUAAAGUCAGUCAGCUAUAAAGACAAAUUAAUUUUGAGUGUGAAAGGACACAAUUGAUCACCAAAUUUUCAAACUCGGGAUCCUUAUUGAAUCUACAUUCCCAUUUGAAAAAUAAUAAAAGAUUAACAUUAAUUUAACUUCAUCUAGAUUCCCAUUUGAAUCUGCAUUCCCAUUCCCUUGUUCUCUGGGAAUGCACAUAAUCAAACAAAAUCCUAUCCGCAUUUUCAAACUCGUGACCCUUCAAUCUUUCUAUGACAACUAUAAUGAAUGAUUACAACAAUGCUACCUAAUAGUGAGCAACUUGUUUGAUGAAAUUAACAGCUUCUUUUCUCUCAUGUAUUUUUUAAAAAUUAAAUUACCAAAGUUUUUAUUUCAAAAUUAGUGCUAUAGUUCAUUAAUUUUUCAAAAUUUCCUUUUUCUUUCCACACAACAAAUUGAUUUGCCCUCCAAAAAAUGUAUUAUAUUGUUUAUAUUGUAACUUCAAGAAACUUAUAAUAAAAUUUUAAUGAGAUAAAUAGAGAAUGUCAGUCUCCCAUCUACUCAAAAUUAAUAUAUAUCAUUAACUCUUGAUUAUUUUUAUAAUAACUAAUAACUUUCUUGGCAGCAUAAUUUUACAGUAUCAUCCUUGUUUGUAAGUAUAUUUUUAUUUAUAUUUAUUAUAAAUUAAUUAAAUCAUAUCAAUGAAAAUUGAAAUAAAAAUUGAAGCACUAAAAAUUAAAAAAAUAUGUUUUGGUGUGAAUAAAAAAUUGAAAAUAAAAAUAUUUUUCUUAUAUUUUUAAAUUUUUUUCUUGUAGUAAAUGCAUAUUUUAUAUGCUCAACUUUUUCUUUAAAUUUUUGUUAUUAGGAGGAAUUUUAGAUAUAAUGAAAAUUGUAAGGUAGUAAGUAAUAUAUAAUAAUUUUAAUAGAAAAAAGUAAAAAUUCUCUUAUUUUAAAAUAUAAGGAGAAAAAAUAAUUAAUUUCAAGACAUUUUAGAAGGUAUUUCAAUAUGCGGUGGACCACAAACUCGAGUCUUUGUCAUCUCAGUCAACUAAAAAGACAGAAUAUUGAGGGCAUGGCUAAGGUGCAGAAGCUGCAAGUAACAGCUUCGAACUUUCCCAUUUCCAUCACCUUGCAUUGGGACCUCCUCUAGCACCCGUGGAAGUUCCCCAUUGGCUACUGUUACUUACAAAAGCUCUAACAUAGACUUCUUCGAAUAUUGAGCGCGAAGGGCUCAAGUGAUUGUUAAUUUCACGGCAAUCGCCUUUUUUUUUUUUUUAAUUAUUGGGAAAUAAUAACUUAGUAUAACAAAUAUUAUAUCCUAUACUUUAUUGCUACAAAAUUACGAAACCUUAUAUUAUAUUAUGUUUCCAUAUUUCUCCUUUAUAGUGAAGACUCAUACUUCUUCUCUACUAAAUGCUAAAGAAUUGGCUUAAACUUUUUAACCAGCAGUAGACCCUUAAGCUAUAUAUACUAUAAUGUCCACUACAAGAAAUCUGACUUUCUAAGACAAAUGUUUUUAUGACAUUUGUAGAUUUUGUCAUAAAAUAAUACUUAUUGUGAUGAUCUUUUAAAAUUGUAGCAAAUAAUCUCGUCCUGGCUCAUGUUAUAUUUUGUAACGAAUAAUAUUCAUUUUAUGACCCAAUAAUUGGUCACUUAAUCAAAUGUUUUGCGACAAAUAUAAAAUUAGCCACAAAAGGACGUACUUUUUUUUAGCACAAAAAAUUCCCUCCAAAAUUGAUCAUUUUUUUUACAAAAUAUCAUCUUUUAUGACAGAAAAUAUGGUAGCGAAAUGUAAUUAUAAGUGACAUAAUUAUUUCGUAACUAAAAGAGGGAUGUAAAAUUGAUCAAACCAUUUGUGACAAAAAAUAUUAGUCUCCAAACCUGAUAUGGUUUUGAUUAAUUUUUAAGACCCUAUUUUUUUUAUCACAGAUAAUUACCGAUUGUGACAAAACUAAAAAAUAAUAGUUUAAAAAUUUUUUCUUGAGUAAUUUUAUAUUUCAUGACCUUUUUUUUUUCAGAGACACUUUAUUUAGUAUUUGAUUCAUAUUUUUUUGGCAAACUUUACAACAAUGACAAAAAACAGAGAAUAAUAAUCAAUAUUUUUAAAUUAUAUUAUAUUUUGUGACCAACAAAUUUUUUAUAUGUAUUUUAUUAAAUAAUUGAUAAGAUAAAAUGUCAAUAAUUUUAUUAAAUAUCAAGAAAAAAGGUAUUUAACUGAUAGGUAUUUUAUUAAAUAAUACAUUUUUCUUUAAAUUUAAUUACGCACAUUAUUUUUUAUCAUGUAGCUUCAUACAAAUUUUGUUUAACUAUGUUAGAUUAAUAAAAAUUAAAAUAAUAGCCUUAAAAUAAUUAACUUAGAUUAUUAAAAAAUGAUAAUAGACUUUUUUUAAACCAAUAAUAACAAACUUAUUAUAGCUUCUUUUUUAUUUUUUUAAAAGAAUCCUAUAAUAAUUAAUUAUGUUGGAUUUACAGAAAGAAUACAUAUUAAAUUGGGUAAAAAUUAAAAUAAAAGAAUAACUAAACUUAAAUAGAACAUAAGUUUCUCUAAUGAAAUCGUGAAAUACAAAUAAAUCCCCUCCCACUGAUUCCCUGGCCAAUUUUGUUGUUAUCCAAACAAAACCAUUUAAUUUCCCCCCACUCUCUCCCAGGCCACUUCACUUUAAUUGGUUUUGUAUUAAAAAACUACCCAUCUUUAUCUUUUGUAAUCCUUUCCAAUUUAUGCGUGUGUGUGUGAAUGAUGAUAACAGAACAAAAACGCAUGGCUAUGGAGGCCACCUCACUUUGCCGCCGCCCAAAAGCACGCCACCCUCACCAGUCCACUCAUGCAUGCCAAAAUCAGCCACUCAGCAAAAUUCACUCUCAUCUCUCGUUCUACUUCGAAAUUGUGAGUAUAUAUAAACUCAGCCAAUUUAAUUUUGAUUAGUUUUGUUGUGAUUGGAUUAUGUGAAAUUCAUAUUUUUGUGUUUGGUAAAAUUAGGGAUUGAAAUUCUUAGAUCUAUUAUUUGAAUAUUUUUAUGCUUAUCAGGUGCUUGAUAAAAUUCCUAAGAGAAUCUAGUAAAAGAAAAACAUAAAAUAUAUGCAAAUAAAUGAAGGAAUUUGAAGCAAAGUUUAGUAGGUUUGGAGAAACUUUUGCAAAAUUAGGAUAUUAAGAUGAAUUUGUUUUUCAAUUUGAGCAGUGGGUUUAGGCGUGCUGAUAUCAGAUUUUUUUUUCCCUAAUAUUCUUUCAUAAGAACUUUCGAAAAUGGGAUCUUUCUAAUUUUUGUUCACUUCAACUUGGUAUGUAAUUAAUCAUCUUUCUUUAUUUUUUUAAAGAUAAUUAUAGCUAGUAUUAAUAUAGUAAAAAGAGUUAAUAAGUUAUUCGAGUCCAGCCGAUAUAAUAAUAAGUUAAGCUACAAACUUUUAAUUAUAAAACACAUGUGUUGGUUGGAAGGACGAUUUUGAAGCUUGGGUUGCUAAAGUUUGCUGAAAAUAUUGUUGGAUUUGCUAGGAAGUGUAGAUGAAGUGACUAAAUAAAGGUCAAAAAGCUUCUUUUUUUCCCCAAGUGGUCGUUGUAUGUUUAGUCAAAAUUAAUAUGCUUAUCUUCUUUUGUAUUGGGAUAACAAAAAAGUAUGGAGAGAGUUUCCUCGAUUUAAGAAAAUGUAUUAGAGUGAGCGAAAAAGGUUCAAGUAGUCUCCAUACAAAAUCUAAAUGUGUAACCUAUCUUAUUUUUAUUUUUUGACUUAAUCUUUUAUUUAUUUCAACUUUAUAUUUAUUGUACUGUAAAUGUUGAUUUAUUGACUGCUUAAUAAUUUAAUUUCGUUCAAGUUUGACACCAACUGUUUAAUCGAUUAAGUUCAGAGCUUUGGAUGUAAAAUUUGUGCAAGUGAAUCAAGGUUGAUUAUGUGCUUGUAAUCUUUUGAUUAUAUUGUUAAUUUGAAGUAAUAAUGAAAGCAAGUAUGUGCUUGUAAUCUCCUGUCUUUCAUUUAGAAUUUUUUCCAUUUUUUUAUUGGAUGAAAGAAUUGAUUGCGGAUAUGUUUCAUUGAGAAUUUAAUUAAUUUUGCAUUCUUACCUAAAUAUUUUUAUUUAUAGCUAUUUGCCUUGCUAUUUACUAUUCUUUCAUUUUGGCAAUAAGAUUUUCUUUUAUAAGAUUAUUCUCCUAUACCAAUUAAGUGUUUUCUCAAGUUUUUUAUUAUUAAUAUUAUUUUUUUAAUCAUGCAAAGACAAAUGAUAGAUAGAGAAAAAUGAUGUACCAAUAAUAGAUGAUCAAAUUGUGAAAUACUUUUGGAAAAAUCUUUAAUUUUAUAAAGAUAAAAAAAUGACAGGUACCUUCAAAGUCAUCUUCUACUACAACAUUGUCUUAGCACAACAAGGAUCAAAAGUUAAAAUCAAGGAAGAAGAUAGCAAAUUUAAGGAAGUUGAAGCAUUCAUGAAACAACAACAUGUUGUUUACUUAAUUGUGCUUGUGUGUAAUGUUACUUUUAUUUUUCUUCUAUGAUGUAAUCUUAUUUUUAGACUAUUGAUUUUUUGCCUUUUUGAUUUUAGAUUUCUUUGUAAUGAAUUAUAUUUAUGUUAAUAAUAUUUUUCACUUCAAAGUUCUUUUGUCAUUAAAUUUUGAAUUCUAUGACUACAUAUUGUUAUUAAAAUUUAUGUGAGACUAUAAAAAUUGUCCUUAAAAUAAAUUUGUGACUAAAUUAAUUACCAAUUGUAUUUGUAAAAAUUGUCACAAAUGAUAACUACUUGAGACGAUUGUGUAAUGUCGCGAUAUGUAAAUUGUCAACGAUUGGUAAUUGUAUCAUUGAACCUCUAAAAUAACAAUUUUUAGUAAUUAUCGAGACUAUAUUUACAUACUCUUGAGACAAAUAUUAUAGUCAUUCUAAAUCACCUAUUGAGACAAAUGUUUUAGUCACUAUAAAUCACCUAUUGAGACAAAUAUUAUAGUCACUGUAAAUCACAUAUUGUGACAAAUAUGAAGUGUCAUUGAUUGCAUUUUUGAAUCUCUAAUUUGACCAUUUUGAACACUAUUUGUGACAAUUUUAACUUAAUUUUAAGACAAUGGUCUUUGUCACAAAACAUAUUUUUAACAUGACGAAAAUAAUUAUGGUCGCUAAAACCUUUUAAGACGGUCUUUCCGCGACUAACGUGUGACGAUUUAUUUAUCAUCAUAGAAAAUAUAAGGUGACUAAUAUGUUAUCUUUAGUGACUAAAUUUUUUGUAAUAAAAUAUCAUUUUUCUUGUAGUGGUCCCUCUUCCCUCACAGAUUAAACCAAUCUAUCUCAGAGUAAGUUUGCAUCAAAGGAGUAUCCUUACUAACUAAUAUAGGCUUGAUCAAUAGGGAUGACAAUAAUUUUUUUAUCUACGAACAUUAUUUUUUCAAAAUAUUAUAUCUUUAGACUUAACUAAAUAUUUUUUAACUAUAUAUGUAUAGUUUGAUUAAAUGGUGGAGAUUACAACAAAACAGAUGUGAAUUAGUAGUGAUGUUAAGUUCUAGAUCAAGACGAAAAUAAGGAAAAGGUAAGGGUGUAUUUUCAAAAUGAUUCUAUUGAAAGAUCUUUGAAAAUUACUUUCGUUAAGAGGUGGAUUCCACACUCUUGAGCCUUUGUCGUCCCAGUCAACUAUAAAGACACAUUAUUAUUGAGUGUGAACAUUCGAACUUAUAGAUCAUCAAAUUUUCAAACUUGUGAUCUUCGUUAAAUCUGCAAACCCUUUUUUUUUUAAAAAAGAAAAAGAAAACUGCAAAUAAUGAAACAAAAUUCUCUUCCUUGAUAGACUUACGCGGCUUGAACUUGCAAGUGCUGUCGGCAUUUUCAAACUUGUAAGACCCUUCAACUUGCUUUCCAAGAUAGCUAUAAUUAAUAAUGACAACCGAAGACGGCUACGUUUGCGGUACAAAAGUUGCACCAUAUCAGACGUUCUUUUUUGUUCUUAUCCGAAGGAACCGUUGGAUUCAAAGGAAAGUGAUCGGACAUUCAAUAGCUUCACACGUGGACAUUAUAGGAUACCGGUCAAAUCGGUUAGUGCUCCUCCACAUCAAACUCACAAGCAUGGCUAUCAUCGUAUCAGCUUGGAAACUUGUUACAAGUAACGAAGAGCAACAGAGUCCGCUCCUUUAGAGUCGGCAACAGAGUUUUAAUUAACGGCAUCUUCUCUCACAUUUUUUUUUAAAAAAAAUUGAAUUAUAUAACCCACCAAAACUAUAAAGAAUUGUUAGUUUUUCUUCAUUAAAAUUAAUAUAUUGCUCCUCAUAUUAAAAAAUCAAAAUUCAGAAUAAGAAUAAUUGAUACUGUUUAUUUACUAAAAUGAAAAUGAGAAUAAAAAUAAAAUAUAUGGAGCCUAUAUAUUUUUUAAAUUAAAAAAUAAGAACUUUUCAUGAGGAGUGUUGGGAAUCAAGUUCUUAUUAUUUAAACUCUCAAUUGUACCUUACCAAAAUUUCAUAAUUUCACUUUUGUUCUCAAUUAAAAUAUUAUUACAGUUAUUAUUCUUAUUUUUGUAGUUGUUGUUGUUGAUGAUGAUGAUUAUGAUGAUACAUGAUAAUAAAAUUAAUGAUAAUAAUAAUGAUAAUGAUAAUAAUAAUAAUGAUAUGAUAAUGAUGAUAAUAAUUUGAACAACAACAACAAUAAAUAAUAAUAAUAAUAAUGAAAAUAAUAACUAUAAUUUUAACAACAAUAAUAAUCAUUAAUAUUAUUAUUGUUAAAAUUAUUAUUAUUAUUAUUAUUAGAUAAUUAUUUUGAAUAAUAAUAAUCACAAGUCUAUUCUGAUUCCAGUUUAUUCCGAUUAUCGAUUAGAAAAUGUGUCAUUACUGUUUUAAUAAUAACUAAUAAUUCUCUUGACAUCAUAAUCGUAAUUCUUAUAGUAUUAUCCUUAUUUUAAAAUACACUACCAUGAGCUUGCAUCAUUUGAAAUGGUAGGUACUAGGUAGCAAUUGCUUACAUCAAAAUAUCUAGACUCACUCGGCAAAGUAUCCGAGGCCAAAACGCCAAAAGAUGGGACACCCACAUGUGCAUCUAAUUACAAAAUCCAAAGUUAAUGAAAAAGAAAAAAGAAAAAGUAUAAAUGAACGGUAUUGGCUGUAGGACAAGGGGAGGGGAAAAAGGACCAUUUUGUUUUCUUUGCUAAUUCACAAGGGGAAGGGAAAAAAAAGAAAAAGACAGUUUUGAUUAAAAAACACAGAAUAUUCAAUUCACAAGCCACCAAUGCUUGUGGACCAAUGGUCGAUAUAUGAAAGUUAGAGAUUCUGGAAAAAUGAGCAAAUAUUUUGAGUUGAUUAAUGGAUUUGUUUGUAAUGCAAUACAAGAUAGCAUUUUAAAGCUGGCAAGAAAGAAAGAAAUAAGUCAAUAAUUGAGAUAUUUAAAGAAGCUCAAGUGGUCAUGAAAUCUCUCCUUAAAAACUAUACAAGAUAAUGUUAAUGAUAAAGUUAGCCAACCAAGUCGUUCAAUCAUUGCUGGAAGCAAGCAGCCAUUGAAGUUGAUAGAAGCUAAUGCAUGAAAAAAGGUUCGUUACAUGAAGGAGAUAAUGAGAAAAUUGAUGAACACCUAUCAUCCAUGUUUUGUUUCAAUCAAAAGGUUUGAGUUUUAAGGCCGAUAUUUUGGACUGAAUCCCCCUGUCUGCUUCCAAAGGGGAGGAUGUGCAUGUAGUUGAUUGGGCCGAUGAUUAUGAUGGGUGGGAACUUUUAGCAUCUCAUGAAAGAGGAUGUGUAUGUUAUCGGUUGUAGGUACGGCAACAAAUUUUAUAUCCACAAACAAUAUUUUUCAAUAUAGUAUCUUAGGACUUAACUUAGCAUUUUUUAACCAUAUAUGUAUGGGAGCCCCUAUGUUACAUUAAAUGUACCAUACACAACUCACAAGAACCACACAAAUUGUGGGACCCACAUAAUUGUGUGGUUCUUAUCAGUUGUGUAUGGUACAUUCAAUGUAACAUAGCAAAAUCCUAUAUGUAUAGGUUGUUUGACCUCCUUUAAAUAGUGGAGAUUACAACAAAUGAACAGAUGCGGAUUAGUAGAGUUGUUGAGUUCAGAAGAUUGAAGUUAACAAAGAGUUCCUUGAUCUAGAGAAAAUUCGAAAGAGCGAAGUGUCUUCGAGAUCAAAAGACGAAAUAAGAAAAGGGUAAGGUUAUACUUUCAAAAUGAAUCUGUUGAUAGAUCUUUGAAGAUUACUUUCGUUAAGAGCUGGAUCCCACACUUGAGUCUUCGUCGUCUCAGUCAGUCAGCUAUAAAGACAAAUUAAUUUUGAGCGUGAAAGGACACAAUUCGACAGAUUUUACGCAAAUUUGUUUUGUUCUCAAAAUAGUCUGCUGCUCCCGGAUUGUCCUCAUCAUAUUGAACGAAUGAUGACGACGCUCUGUCCGUUUCUGGCUCUCUGCUUUUCACAUCACCAGACACCUCGUUUCUAACUGGGGUGCCACCAUCAUAUUUAACUGUUAUUGGUAACUCAAUAGCUAAUUCCAAUGUUUCAUCAAGCAGUUUAGAGAUAACCUCUCUCGCUGAACUCCCUGGAGUAACACAAUCCAGUUUUCUAGUGCAAUCAUCAAACAGUUGAACAGCUUCUGAAUUCCCUGGGGAUUGAUUACUAAUGAUAAAGACAACAUACGGUAGAGGACACAAAUUGUUAUUAAACAAUGGUGCACUUUUCAUUUUUCAACUGAGUACAGUAAAGCAAGAAUGGGUAAUUAGUUUUACCUGCUAAGCGAAAAUCUAGACUCCCGAAGGUAACCGAUCUUGGGUGAAGCAAAUAAAGAAGAAGGCGAAGUAAAAUUCACUGAGUUGAAUGAGCGAUCAUUGCGUAUGGACUUGAUUUGUUCAAUGGGUGAAAGACUGCUGAUAUAAUUAAAGACAGGAGAAUCCUGCAUGUUGACAAGCAUCAUUUUUAAUCAGCAUAGAGUCUUAAAAACCUAGUCAGUGGCAAAUGAUCAUGACAAGAAAUCUGAAGUAGAAACAGCAGAGCUCAACAAAUCACUAAGAGAAAAUAAGACCAAUAACCAAACAGAUGAAAGAAAAGCAAAAUAACCCAUCUCAAAUCACCACAUGCACAAUUUAAGGGGGUUGUGACAUGGGUUUAAACAUGACUUAACAAGUGCCACCAGUGAAUUCUCAGAGAUUGAAUUUUCAUACACAUGUCAAAUUUUCAAAUCCAACAAAUUGUUAUCUUUCUGAAGAUAUUAACUAUGCAUAGCAUGCUAUAAACGAAUCAUAUUAUUAGGGCCUUUGUUUGCUGUACACAGCAUAUGUACAGAGGAACAAAUCCAUGAGCUGAAAUCAUCAUAUUCCAAAAUAUUCUACCAAAUCAACACUACAAAAACCUAACGCUAAACAGAAUUGGAGCAAUUUACGAAAGCUAUUUGUCACACAAAGCACUAGUACCUCAGAACACAAUUUGCAAAAAAAGCAACAAAAAUGAAAAAUAACAAAUGCCCAGAUGAAAAAUCUGGCAACAAAAUGCUCAAAUCCAAACUACAACCGUCCACCUGCUUGUUUUGCCUUUUUUAAAAAUACACAAACACUUUUUUUUUCAGCACGCCACUUGAAGUUUACUUUUUGUUGCAUUCGUCCACUUCCGUUUAAUUUCCGUUAGUGAAUUUAACGGAAUGACCUUUUUACCCAUUAAAAUUAAAAUUUAACCCAAAAUAAAUAGAAAUUAGAGAUAAAUUGGAUGGAUUUAAUUUUUUUGAAAGGUGGAUGCUAGAAAUUGGAGGAAAAUAGUGUUUGUUUGUUACUAAAUUUAGAAAAUUUGUAUUUAUUUUUUUGGAGAAAAAUAGUGUUUAUUGCUUGCUAAAUUUAAAAAAUUUGUAUUUAUUUUUUUGUCUUUCAAAAAAUAAAUACAAAUUUUCUAAAUUUAGCAAGCAACAAACACUAUUUUCCUCCAAUUUCUAGCAUCCACCUUUGAAAAAAAUUAAAUUCAUCCAAUUUAUCUCUAAUUUCUAUUUAUUUUGGGUUAAAUUGUAAUUUUGAGGGGUAAAAAGGUCAUUUCAUUAACAUUCCGUUAAAUCCACUAACGGAAAUUAGACGGAAGUGGAUGAAUGCAACAAAAAACAAACUCAGGUGGCGCACUGAAAAAAAAAAAAAAGUGUUUGUAUAUUUUUGAAAAAGACAAAACAAACAAGUGGACGAAUGUAAAUUUCCCUAUUCCAAAAUAUUCUACCAAAUCAACACUACAAAAACCUAACGCUAAACAGAAUUGGAGCAAUUUACGAAAGCUAUUUGUCACACAAAGCACUAGUACCUCAGAACCCAAUUUGCAAAAAAGCAACAAAAAUGAAAAAUAACAAAUGCCCAGAUGAAAAAUCUGGCAAAAAAGUACUCAAAUCCAAACUACAACCCCAUAAGCUGAGUCGUUCUCUUCAAACUGAAUUAAAAAAAUUAAAAUGGGGAGAUCGACCUCAAACUUGGAAACAGAAGCGACAGCGAUCUGUUUCUUGUCUGGAGUGUCCAUUUCUAUAAUCUACUUUGUCCGUUUUCACUUUUCAGUCGCUCCACCACAAAGCCUCUUCACUCUGAAGCUGAAACUCACCACACACUUGCAAAACGAAAGCAUUUGAUUGAUUGAGAGGCGGGAAGGCGGGAAAACGAGAGAAAUUUGCUUCUUUUUUUUUUUAUUCGUUUGGUCAUACUCAUACAUGCACGGGCCCCAGCUUUACAAGCGUUAUUAUUACUAUUUGCAUUAUUUGAAGGACGCGUGUGCUAGGAUUAUACAAAGUUAUCUAAAAGUGUAAAGAGUAAAGUAUUGUUCUAAUUAAUUUUAAAAAAUAUUUUAUUAUUAACGUUUAAUGCAACAUGGCAAUUUUUUUUUCCUUGGCAACAAAGCAUUGUUCCAAAUAAUUAUUAUUGGAUCCAGAUCCUGUCCUAGGCAUUUUCUCUAUUAGUACUCCUAAACUUUUAGGGUAUGUUUGGCAUGUAGGAUUUGAUUGGACUAACUAUUAGGAUUGGACUAAAUUAGAAUGCAUUAGAUUGGAUUGGAUUAGAUUAUGUUAAAUUAAAUUUACAUGAAAUUAAAUAGUAUUUAUAUUAAUAUUUGAAUUUAAAUAUAAACUAUUUAUAGAUAUUUAAAUAAUACGGUUAUAGUAAGCACCACAGAAUACAAAGACACUUGGCAAAAGGAAGUCAAUCAAAUUCGAUGGCACAAAAUGAAACUAAUAAUGGCGAAAAUAAGAAAUUUUUCUUACUGGAGCAGUGAACCUUACCCUUCUCUGUAGUAGUCUUCUGGUGAAGUGAGUGCCAGAUCUGCAAAGCAAGAGAAAUCAGCAUCUGGAGUAUACAAAAGAUUAUCUAACCCCAGAGCUUGCCUCAAUUGCCUACAUGUUCAAAACAAGGACCUGUUAAAAAAUGGAAAUCUCUUCAAUGCAUUAGUAAAGGGAAGUGAAGUGAAGUGAAAGCUGAUUUCUUAGGCCUUUAAAGAGCAUCUUGUGUUUGAAUUCCUAUAACCUCACGAAAGAUUAGAGCAUCACCUUGACCGCUCUAGGUCUUGCAACUCAGUAACCCAACCAUUGUAUCUAAGCUGCACUGUCACAACAGGCAAUCCAACUAGCUCAUAAAUAUUGUUGAAAAAUUUAAUUUCCCUCCACGAUGAUGGAAGUAAUCGUUUAAAUCCAGGGACAUCACAUGCUGCCAUUAAAUAAGAAGUUGUAGGAAGUUGAAUAAAGGUAAAACAUUCACCUAAAUGAUUCAGGAGAACAAAAAAGCAGAAGUAGGAAUAAAUAAGGAAGAUUUAACGACAAACCAGCAACUUAUGCACCAGCUUGCAGAACCUUCUUGUCAGUGCCUGAAAUAGAACCAGAACUUCUAAAGACCAUAAGCAUUAAAUAAUAAACGCAAAGUACCUGCUUCUAAUAGAUGAUAUAAACAACUGAUUUACAAAUGUCUGGUCAUUGCAUUACCUCCAUCAGAGAGAAUAUCAAUAGACGAGUACAGAAAUAAAUAACUAAACUAGCUUUUGCCGCCUAAUUAGAGCCAUGUGAGAAACAAUUUACCUUAGACAUGGCAAGUCCUUUGACAUAUGUUUCUCCAUUAGCAGAUUUAUCAUAAAGUAUCUCUCUGCAUCCCCACCUAAGAUGGAACCUGUUCUAGCAAAAACAGACCCCGAGGUUAGGAAAAUCAGUAGGAGAAAACAAACAAGAGUAACAAAUCACCGCAAUGAUGUGAACCUCUAAAUACAAAUUCACCUGCCCUCUUUAUCUGUGAUUUAUCUUCUUAUGGGCCCACUCAAAUAAACGUCUGGAGAACCCUUGAGCAUCCGCAAUAGGGAAGCCUCAGUCUUAGUUGUAAACUGUGCGAAUAUAGUGAGCAUACAACGAGCACUGAUGUUAUCACGAUCAAUGAACCCAAGGGCAUAAGCAACAGGACCCCACAUUCUCAGAAUACUCGUCCGUGUACCACCUUUGGACAAAAACCAAUCAGAGAAGCUUAUCUGUAAGAAGAAAUGAAGUUUUAGGUAAGAUAACAAUUUGUAGGAGCAAGGAUCGAUAUUAAAACAAACUAGAAAAUAAGAUGUCAUUCUUACACUAUCCAAAUCUCGUAUGUCCUUCAAGGCUCCACCAGGAUCAACGAAUGCCUUUACAACAGGACUCAGAGCAAGAGCAAGAGCAUUUCUUGCUUUAUCAUAAGUCUGCACUUGAGCAAUACAUGAGGCAAAGUAUAUCAAAAGAGAAUCCAAAAGAGGCAAGAACUUUCAACAUGAAAGAAGAAAUACUGUCUUAUCAUACUGCUAACUAAUCAGAGUGCAAAAGAUUACAUCGACAUAAUCAAAAUGGAACAUAAAUCCAUAUGCACCACCUUAAGCUAAUUUGUAGACAAAAAUGCGUGAAUCCCAUGUAAGGGAGCUCCGACUGGAAACCGGAAAUCAAGUUCUGGAGUUAAAAAUCAAAAUCAUAAACUGUAUCAGAGAUAUUAUUGGACUAGACAAUCCAUAAACCAAUUUCAGAGUGUUCAACCACCAAACAUAACUAUCAGUAGUCUUAAGUGAUCAAGAAAUAACCAUACCACCAAUUUCAUCACGCUUAUUCACAAAUGUAUGAGUAUGAUCCUUCAUGAGUGAAUUUUUGUCCGCAUCGACCCGUAGACAUCCAUGAAAAACUAUCAGAUUAUAAACACAGGGUCGAUUUAAAGAGGAGCUAUGAUUCUGAUCCAUCAUUAUAUUUGAAGAACAUAUUCAUAUUUUCUUACGAGUAAACUAUAACCAGUUAUCAUCACUAUAGAUGGCAUGGUCAAGAGGAAUUAUAGUUCUUGUUUCAAGAAUCUCGAAUUGGCUAGUCUGCUUUUAUAAUCAUUCAAACACACGUAUCCACAACUACGCAAGCUUUACCUUUUUCAUCAAUCGGAACAGAUUAUUGUAGCAUCCAAAGAAAAUGUGCAGGCCGAUUUCAGUAUGGUUUCCAUGUUUAUCGAUAAAUGAACCCACUUUACCACCAAUGAAAGACCUUGAUUCAUCUAUAUCCACCUGGAAGAACAAGGGAAAAAAGAAAAAAUCUUCUAAUUUCUUUCACCAUCAACAAAAUCAGUAAAACACAUACUAAUUCAAAAUGAAAUAAACUUUGUGAAUUGAAAUAAUGCCUGCUCUAAAGAAAAUGAUAACUGCUAUUCAUUUUUCUGAACUGCUAAAAAAAAUAAAAGCUUCUGCUAUUUACUUCGAAAAAAUUGAGUAACUUCAAAUUUUGAGUUUAGGCAAGAGGAUGAAUGGUAAAAAUGAGACAUUUUAGGGGAAAAGAAAAUACUUGAGAGGCCAAUGAAACAUUCAAAAGAUUGAAAUCUAAAUGAGAAAAGCCUCAUGGCCUUGAUCCAACAAUUCCACUGUUGUUGACAUCCUAGCUCCAAUAAUCUGCUCCUAGCCUCAUGGCCUGGAAAUCUAAAUGAGCAAAGCCUCAUGGCCUUGAAAAAACCUUAGUUUUUUGUGUUGUGUGUGUUCACUUACUUGAUAAAAAUUAAACCUACGGUGUACCCCAGUCGCCGUGCCACCUGGCGCUAUUUUAGUGGCAUUCAUUGCUGUCAUGUCAGGAAUAUUCUUAUUUUCAUGCGUAUGGCAGGCGUUUCAAAAAUAUGAGUGGAGAGCAAGUUUGAGGCAUAUUCACGUGUUAGGCGUAGUGGAGUGGUCCCACGUACCUCUGCAAUUCCGUUGUAAUUUUGCAGGUAUGGCAGGAAAAGUUGGUGGUUCCAACUGUCAUAAUAUCAAACUUUUGGUUGAUUCGCUGGCGUGACAGGUGGCUGUCUCCUCUUUUGUAGCACAAGAUUUCCUCAUCGAUUCCUUAUUUUUUUACACGUAUUCAACCGAUCUUUUUUUGAGAUUCAGGGUCCAUCUAUCCCUUGACAUUUUUUACGAACCUUUUUCCUAACCUUUUUGUCCUUACUCGAUGUUCCCUAGGUAUUGAAUUUUGUGGGGUAGGUCGGGUACCAAGUUUUGUAGAGUAGGUUGGCUCCAUCGGGUAUCCCGAGUACCGAAUUUAUGGUGUAAGUUAGGUAUCUCGAGUAACAAGUUAUAGUGUAGACCAGGUAACCGAGCUUAUAGUGAAUGUCGGGUAUCGAGUUUAUUAUGUAGGUUGUGUAUCUUAGGUGUCGAGCUAAUAGUGUAGGUCGGGUAUCUCAGGUACCGAGUUUAUAGUGUAGCACGAGUAUCUUGGGUACCGAGCUAAUGGUGUAGGUCGGGUACCUGGGAUACCGAGUUUAUAGUGUGGGUCAGGUAUCUUGGGUACUGAGCUAAUGGUGCAGGUCGGAUACCCCCAGAGAAUAACUAAUAGUUACAUAACCUUUGUAGUUUGUAUCGACACGUAGCGCUUCAUUUUCAACACUCUGUUUAUCCACAAACAAGGGGUAUUCAAAAUUCAAUUAGAUCCGCUCAAUUCGUCCGAUCUAUAAAACUUCGAUCCAUGGAUUGGUAGAUCAAAUUGGAUUGAAAAUUUAAAAAUUCGCAGUCGAUGGAUUGGAUAUGAAUUUAUUUCUAUAAAUUCGUAAAAAUCCUUGAAUCCGUAAAAAAUAACAAGUAUUUAUUUAAAUUAAAGUAUAGCUAAAUUAACACAAUAUUAUAUCUUAUUCGAUAACAAUAUAAAAUAAAAAAAAUUAGAUAUUUAAAUAAUUAAAUAAGCAAAUAUACCUUCCAAAACAUUAAAAAUUCUAAAGCAAAACAAAAACCCUAUGCUAAACAAAACAUUUUGGCAUAUAACACCAAAUCUUUACCCCAUCGCACGCACAAGCCAUCACUGUUUCACUUCACCACUUGAGGUAAUUAAGCUUAAUUUCUUACUUUCUUUUCAAGUUCUUCAAGUUUCUUAAUUUCUUCCUAUUACAUCCAAGCUCUCAAGUUUCAAUAUUUAAAUUCAUAAUUUUAGUUAAUUUUCAUGUAUUGAUCUAAACAAAUGAAUUUUCUUUUUAGUGUGUUAUAUUUUAAAUUUUUGAAUAUAUUAUUCUAACUUUAUUUAAACAAUUAAUUUUUUUAAAUCUUGCUCAAUUUUGAAUUUAAUUGAUAGUAAGAUUAUUUUUACAUUAGAUUUUUUUAAUUUAAUAAAUUAUUUAUAUAUUAGAUUUUUUAAUUUAAUAAAUUAUUUAUAUAUUAGAUUUUUUAAUUUAAUUACUUCGUAGAUUGGACAAAAUUAAAAAAUUUUAAUUCGCAAAUGAAUCCGCUAAAUGAUGGAUUAGAUAUUGAUUGGGUUAAAUCUGCAUCCGAUCCGCAUACAUAUAGAUUGGAUUUAGAUUGAAUUUCACUAAUCUGUGGAUUGGAUUGGAUUGAAUUGAAAUUUUAUAAUCUCCCUUUCUUUUUUCGAUUAUUACACAAACGUUAGUGCUUGUGAAUUAGCACAAAAUGUUAGUGAGCACAAAAUGUCAUUAACGAUAAUGGAUGGAAUGACCAAACCAACCAACUAAAUUUUGAAAGGAGGGAAUGAUACAUAAUAGUUUAAUUUGAUUUUAUUUUAAUUGGGUGAUUAAUUAAUUUAUUAUCAAGUAAUUGUAUGUACUUAUUUAAUAGAUACCCUUAUCUUUGGACAAGGCUGAGAAAAAGGCCACGAUGGUGUGUUCACAUAUUUUUUAGGCCGACCGUUUCUAGCUUCGGCUUAAAUAAGGCUUUUGUAUUUUUGUGCCCUUUUUUUCUGAGUAUUUUCAUAUUUUGUGCUAAUUUACACCAACGAAAAUGUGUAGACACUUUUUUAGUAUGAUUUUUCCUUUUUUUUUUUUUCACUUUCAUAGUUACUGUUAAAAAAUCUGUUGAAACUCAGAACCUCCCAUGUGGACUCUAGAACGUGACAGUUUUAGAUAUCUGAGUCCAUAAUAUCAUUAGGAGUAACAAAAGGAAUAAAUUCAAUCAUAAUGAAAAAAUGUGCCAUCCUUAAGGCUUACCUAAUAUUACUAGAACCUAAAAGUGAAAGUUUUAAGAAAACAUGUGAUAAGUUUUUCUUGGAAUUUAUUCUUCUUUGUUUUAAUUUACGCGAGAGAUAGUUAAAAAGCGUAAAAUUUUAAAAUCCGUAACAAAACAAAAACUUACAUGGGUUGGGCGCACCAUGUGGUUCGUCUAAUAAUAUUUGAUACGUACAUAUUCAUUUUAAAAUUGGUGAAUCGUAGUAAAAAAUUUAUAUGUAAUAAUUGAAUGAGAUCCAUGGUUCACAAUUGCAAAUUAACGGUUGGUUGUAUAAUAAAAACCUUUAUGUACAUGGGUCCGCCUAACUUACAUUCAAUGUAAGUUACACUCAGCCCGUGUAAUUUCAUAUAGUCCCCCUAUACUCUAUACUAUUUAUAUUUUAUUCAUAAAUAUUAUAAAUUUUUUGAAAUAAAAAUUUUUAUUUAACCCCCUCUACUCAAUUUUAUUUUAUUAAAACCAUAGAGUAUGAAUUCGCCCCCAUAGUUUUAAAUUCUCAAAAUAAUCUCCAUUUAAUUAAAAAUAUAAUUAUUUUUAAAUGAAUUAUAAUUAUAAUUAUAAUUUUAUUAUAAUCAUAAAUAUUUUUUAAUAGAUUAUUGUUAUUAAAAUAAAAUUUCGUUUAGCCCCCUCUACUCAAUUUUAUUUUAUUAAAACCAUAGAGUAUGAAUUCGCCCCCAUAAUUUUAAAUUCUCAAAAUAACCUCCAUUUAAUUAAAAAUAUAAUUAUUUUUAAAUGAAUUAUAAUUAUAAUUAUAAUUUUAUUAUAAUCAUAAAUAUUUUUUUAAUAGAUUAUUGUUAUUAUUAAUAACAAGAAUAAAAAGCAUUAUAAAUUGUUAAUAAUAAUAAUAAUAAUAAUAAUAAUAAUUAAUGAUUAUCUAACUAAUAGUAAAUGUAUUGCUAAUGCUACCUUCGACUUUAAAUACUCAUUAUCGGGUUUCAAGAGAUCAAUGAAUGAUAAUUUCUGUCAGAAUUUUAAGCUUGACCCAAUAAAAAUAAUUUUGUAUUUAAAAAAUAGAAGCAAAAAAAAUGUGUUUACAUCCUCGAAUGUGUAACAACUUAGCAAAAAGCACUUAAAAAUGACCGUUUAAUAAUGAGAUGCCUACAAAAUCAUUGUUUAUCAAGGUAACAAAAAAAUUCUAAAAGUACUUGAAAUUAAAAUGUAUAGAAAUAUAAAAGAGUCUCCUACAUAAAUAUAGACUCAGUGUUUAUUCCAUUUUAUUAUAAUCAUAAAUAUGUUGAUUAUCAUUAAUUAUUAUUAUUAUUACUAACAAUUUAAUAAAAAUAUUAUUAAUUAUUGUUAAUAGAUUAAUUAAUUAUAAUAUUUUUUAUUAUCGUUAUUAAUAAUAACAAUAAUCUAUUAAAAAAUAUUUAUGAUUAUAAUAAAAUUAUAAUUAUAAUUAUAAUUCAUUUAACAAUAAUUAUAUUUUUAAUUAAAUGGAGGUUAUUUUUGAGAAUUUAAAAUUAUGGGGGCGAAUUCAUACUCUAUAGUUUUAAUAAAAUAAAAUUGAGUAUAAGGGGUUAAACGAAAUUUUACAUUUCAAACAAUUUAUAAUAUUUAUGAAUAAAAAAUAAAUAAUAUAAAGCAUAGGGGGCUAUAUAAAAUUACACAGGCUGAGCGUAACUUGCGUUGAACCUAAGUUAGGCAAACCCUUAUGUACAUACCAAAUUAGAAAACGUUAUAAGUAAAUUAAGAUUUUCAAAAUUUGACUCGUCUUACAUUACGUACAUCAAUAUAAUAUAAAUUUGUUAUAUAUAUAUAUAUAUAUAUAUAUAUAACCAAUGCUUUCAAAAACUUUAUACUUGUAUGUUUGAACAACUUUUUUUGUUUUCUAUUUAUAUACGGUAUCAUUUAUGUUUACAUAAAUUUUCAUAUGUACCCAAAUUAAGUAUUAAAUACACAGACACUUUGUUAAGACUCAUGCGUAAUUAAUCUUAAUAAUUUCUUAUACAAAUACAAUCCUUUAUCUAAGACCAGCAACGUCACUCAUCAUAAUUUUUCACCAAAUAUUGUAAAGCUGUUGUAGUAGUAUAGUUUUCAUGGACAUUGAAUUUCUAGUAUCAGACAAUGAUAUUAUAUUGAAUGUAAUGCUUCAAUGAAUUUUAUUACUAUAUACUAAAAUGCUCAACGAUCUUCAUUAAAAAAAAAAAAAAAUUGCAUGAUUAGAAUGAUUAAAGAAUAAUAAUAAUAAUAAUAGACCUUUGUUAAUAGUUACUACAAGUGGUCACUGCCUUGUCCAUCUUCCUUCUCUGUAUCAUCGUCCUCUUCCAAGCCGCUGUCAUCUGACCAAAAACUCGCCUACUUGUUUUAGGAGCAGGAGCAGGAGGAGGAAAUUGAGUUAGGGAUUUGGAGUGAGAGUGAAGGUGGAGAAACGCAAGAGAGGGAAAAAGCUGAUUGUUGAGAAAUAUAUAUACCUUUUGUAUGGUUGUGUUAAGGUCGCCCUUCCAAGCCCAACAUGCUUCACCCCGCCAACGUGCUUUACUCCGCCCCUUCACUUUGUGUAAUUUGGGUGUACUUAAUUUUCCUUCAGAGAAAAUCUUCAUAUCGGGGCAAUCAUCCACCACUAAUCUUUCUAAAGAUGGGAACUUGAAAGCACAAUUGCCAGAGCAGAAGCUUGUCAGGCGUUCUAAGUCUACAAGCUUCAACUCCUUCAAUUCUCUGAAAGUAAUAACCUCAUCUUUUGCUACAACAUCAUCCCCCUGUACUAUUUCUGUUAUCCUAUCGCAUGAUUUUAUCUUCAUAUAUCUAAGUCGCACCAGAGUCUUUGCAAUUAAGGAUGUUAAUACGAUUUUCAAGUUGUUGCAACGCGAUACCACCAUAUUUGUAAGAUUCUGAAAGGAUGUCGACGGUGGCACUAGAUUGACUAAAUGGUCACACCCCUUUACACGUAGAAUAACCCAGUUGUUCGUAACAGAGGACUCCCUUAUCAAAAUGUGCUCCAGAUGAAAUGCUUCUCUUAUUUCUACCCACAUCCCAUUUUCAACCUUCUCAUACGGCAACGAGGCACUAUAUCCUCCUAUUUGGAGGACUUUCAUUGUGUGAAGUCUCUGGAGGAAGUCACCAAGUGAUAAAAUAGUCCGCUCAUCACCCAAGUGAUAUUUAUUUGUCACUACGUGCUUUGCAUCAACUUUCAACUUUUCCAAAUUAGGGAAUACCUGGGAGAUCGAUCACAACCCCAAAAAAAAGAAAAAAAAGAAAUACAAGAUGAAUCAAUUGAUAAGAAAUAUAAGUUGCCACUAAUUUAUACAAUAUAUUUUAUUCAAUAAAUCUUAACCUUUAAAAAAAAUAGUAAUAAUAGUAUGCCUAACAUCUAGAAUAAUUAUGAAUGAAUACUAUACACUAAUCCGUAAGAGAGUUACGUUGCUGACAAUUUGAGUUUUAGUAAGAAACCAAGCGAUGAAGGCAAAGGCAAUAUAACUCUAAACUCUAUGAUAUAAACUCUCACAGUACAUACAUAAGAAUUGAAAAAUUGAUUAUAAAAUUCUUGUACGUACCCUUUCCGUGAAGAUACUAGUAGUUCUCACCAUGAAUUCAGGACAUUUAGAUAUCCGUAAUUCUUUCAAGGAUGGAAAUUCAAGAAUAUCAAGAUCUCCAGUGCAGAAGCUUGUGAACUUUUCAAGAUCAGACAUCUUCAGAUAUUGCAACUGAGGAAACAUUACAACAUUUUUCUUCCUUUCUUCUUGGUUGUCCAUAACUAUUAACUCUUCCAAGACAGGACAUCCGACUAUCUCAAUGCAUUGGAGUUGAACAAAGCUACUAACGGUAGAAGAUGAAAAUAGACAUCUUAAAUUCAUACAGCAGGACAGGGUCAAGCGCGUUAAAUUCUGAAUACCACAAGACAUGACUGCAACUUGGUUUUGCCAAAUCCUUUCAACAUUUAUUGAAAGCAAAUGCAACUUCUCUAACUCUGGUAACCGAACCUGCUCGAUCAAAAAAUUAACUCGUUAAUUACAAGCAACAAUGAUUUCUGUUGAUGGACAAAUCAAUAAAAUUACUCUUUCUCUGGUUAUAGUUCUUUUCAGUUUUUCAUACAAACAACCGUUAAUCAAGUUUUCCAAAUUAUUCCUUACUAAAUGUAUAGAUUUAGACGGCGGCUAAUAUAAUUCAUAUUGCAAAUAUUCUUUGAUUGUAACGAAUUUUGUAAUAUUAAAUUUUGGUUGAUUCGCAAUAGCACCUACUAUCCAGCGCGAGCAGUUCCUUGGGAUUUAACUACUGGCACCUCGAUUAUAUAAAAAUUUGGAAUAUUUUCAAAGGAAAUCACAUAAUUUCCCCUUGCAAAUAGUAAUUAUCAUUAAUUGCCGCGGGUUGACAUAUAAUUCUAAGAAAUUAGGCGAGAAGAGUCUCAUCAACAAUCAAUCAGCAGAUAUCACGUUUGGCAGAUCAUCAUGAUUUCCUCAGAUGCUAGAGAAUCAACGUGAUUUCCGCUCAUGCAGGAGCAGGAGUGGACACAUUAUCUUAGAGCAUCCCUCACUGAGAUCUUUUAAAAAAUUUAUAUUAUAAAGUGAACAACAUAUUAAGUAUAGAUUUAGACGGCGGCUAAUAUAAUUUAUAUGUAUUCUAAUGAAGUAUAUUAAAGAAAAUGACUAACCAUAAUUUCAAUCUACUUAUUAGUCUAUAUAUAUAUAUAUAUAUAUAAUAUUCAGUGAUUACAACAUAUUUAGUAUUCCAUAACAUGAUGUUUAUAAUAAUAAUUAUUGUGUCGAGUACCUUUUCUUUCUCUAAGAAUGUAUUUGUUACACCCUACUAUACUUCGGAUGAAAAUUUAGAAUAAUUAUGAAAUAUGAUUAUUAAUCACUCUUUGCCAUAUUUGCUACCAAACAAGAAUGCAACAAAGAAAAAAAAAACAAAAAUUAUAGAGAAUUAAUAAGACCAUUGACUUAUCAAUAACUGACCUUCUCAGCGAAAAGUGUAUUAGAAAUUUGGACAUUGUCCUCCAAAAUGAUUUCAUGUGACUGCAAAUCAUUAGCUGAUUCCUCCUGUCUCUGCUAACAUUGCAGGUGCAUUGAUUUUAGAGUGUAAGCUUAAUUGUGAGCACAACCUUAAUGCAUAGAUACAAGAUCUUUAAAAAUUAGUACAAUAAACUUAGCACUAAAUUAAAUUUGAUAUUUUUGAAUUCCAUGAUUAAGAUUUUUUUUUUAAAUGAAAAUUUAAUAGAGUUAAUUUAAAAAUAAAAAUUAAAUAUGAAAAAUUAGACUUGCAAUUAUGGAUUUAAUUUUGAUAAAUAAUGAAUGUUCUCUUAAUAUUUUUUUUAAAAGAUAAAAGAGCGUACAAAGCCCAAAUUCAUUUUUUUAGUCCCUUACUCUCCCAUGAUUCAAACUUGGGUGGUUGUAGGAGGACUGAAAAUAUAUAAGACAGUUAACUUUACUUUUUUUUUUUUCUUUUUUCUUUUUUGUUGAGAGAAAAGAGAAGAAGGAUAUUACAAAGCAUGAAGCUCGUGCAACACAAGGGCAAUUAUGGUUUUUUCCUUAAAUUAAAAUGGUAAGAUUCUGAAGCUAAAAGAUUAAAAUAUUAAUUAAAUUGCAAACAUUAAAGAUUUUUUUUUUCAAAUUGGUUGCUUUGACAAUGAGAAUAAUAUAAUAUUUGAAGACUUUUCAAAAUUAAUUACUGUGAUGCACUAGAAAUUUCUAGCUUUAGUCUAAUGUAUAAAUUGACAAAACGAUAUUAGAAUCCCAGGUGAAAAGAACCCUCUCAUACCAUUUUCUUAAAUUAGGAAUGAUCAUACCUCUGACUCUGCCGAACUGAGGGCGGGGUCUAAACCCAUCAUAAAGAGACGCUUGAGAUGGGAAGAGCCCACUUUGGCUAAUUCAUUACGAAAAUAAUCGACAUCUUGCUCUUGCAAUCCACUUAACUCAAGGUUUUCAAUUCUCUGCAGUUGCACGAUCAGCGAAUCCUUCAAGCGAAUCUUUUCAUAUAGCUCGAGACUGAAUUCACGACACCAAAUGCCGGUGCUCUCCCGACGGUCAUAAUCUGCAAUGCAUAUUUGGUACCUUUCCAGCUUCUCCAAGACCAGGCCUCUGGGCAGACUGCUGACGUCACGGACGUGUAAUUCCAAAGAGGUCAAGUUGGGCAAAUGCUUCAAUUCCUCAAGGCUUGCAUUCUUAACCCCUUCCACCUCCACCUCCCAAUCGGCAAAGUCAAAGAGUUCACUAGCUAUAUAUAGUUCUUCUAAAUGUGAUAAUUUUGACAGUAUAUUUGGUGGAAUAACUUGUAGUGCUGAACAAUCUCUCAAAUCAAGCAACUUUAGACAAGUCAAUUCACCUACUUCUACCGGCAACUUCUUAAUAUAAGAACCUCUUAAGCAAAGGAUUUCUAGUUUCUUCAAGCCUCCUACAACACUUAUAUCAGGCAAGCAGCAGCGACACAAACUCAGUGUUCGAAGGUUUGACAGGAGACCAAGUGAUGGAGGCAGUGACCGUAUGUAAGUCAAGUUUACAACUCUGACCUCGAUCAUCCUCUCGAAAAAGUUGUUUGGAAUUGUUAAUGGUAAAAAUACACCUCUAGCAGCACGUAGAAAAAGAAGUUCGAGUUGAGGACAUUCCAGUACUUCAGGAAGCAAAUUAGUCUUGAUAUCAUGUAAGACGAUUGAAGUGCAAUGCUUUAUUGCACUUCCGUCUGACCAUUCCCUGCAACCAUCAACCUGCUCAUUUGUAGCAGUAAACACAUUUCGUUCAGUAGAUGCAAUUGAUAUGGCGACAUCGCGAACUACAUCAUGCAUAGAAAACAACUCUUUCUUCUGGCUUAUAUGGUCAAGCAACAUACAAGAAGCUUUGAGUGUGCGCACCAAUGAAUGUACUCGAUUUCGUGCUGCUUCAAUCUUAUUCACACCUUGAAAUAAACCCAAUCCCAUACCACACAUUAACAAGUCAUCAAUAGAUGCUAUGGCUGUAUAUCCUAUUAGCAAAAAGAUGUUCUUGAGAUCAUCCCUUCCUAGUUUAUUGUAGCUCAACUCGAUAGCUUUAAAUGCGGCUGGCUGUACAUCCUUAAAAUUCAAUGAAGAAGGCCUUCUUAGCUGUUCCAAUGCAUCCUUCCAUUCACGUAUGCUCUUGCUCCUUAAUGCCCUUGCAACCGUCACAAUGGAAACUGGCAGACCUGCACAUUCCUUUGCCACAUCCCUUGCUACCUCUUUCAAUUCAUUAUCUUCAACAUAAUCACCUGCCAUCUUCGUGAAUAGACUCCAAGCUUCAUCUUCUUUUAAAAAUCCAACUGGGAAAUUUUUUCGAGACUCCAUCUCUCCAGACAAUACUUCUUCACUCCUUGCCGUGAACAGAACUUUACAUCCCAUGUGAUCAUCUCCGUGAGGAAUUCCGACAUCCAACAAAUCAAGAUUUUCCCAAAUAUUAUCCAAGAUUACAAGGAUCCUCUUCUCUUUCUUCAGUCGAUCAUAGAGUCUUCUUGCCCUACCCGAUUCACUCUCCUCAUCAAAUUUUAGACCUAGUUUAUCCGCCAUUUCUCCUUGAAUCUUUCUUACGUCUCGACUCUCAGACACCUCAGAAAAAACCACCUGAUCGAAAAGCUUGUCACACUCUGCUUUUCUAGCAACUUCUUUAGCUAGCGUCGUCUUUCCGAUUCCGCCCAUUCCAUAAAUCAAAAGCAUGUUGACAUUGGGAUUUUUUAAUGCAUCAAUUAUUUCAUUCAGAAUGGACGUUCUUGAUUCAAAGGCCUCGAAGUCUUUGUUAGGCAUAAGCAAGGUAUCCUCCGGAAUGAUGCUGUAGGAAAUACUAUUAACUGGUCUAGCGUCCAGGACUUUGACAACAGCCUCCUUCUGCCUCUCUGCUUCCUUGCUAAGUCGAGGGCGGGUCUUCAAAUUAGGACAUAACCCCUUGAAACAACGCUUAUUUGCAGUGGCUUCAUCUUCUGUAAAUUUAUCUGCCUCUUCAAUGACACUGUUGGCCGCUGCAAGCCAAUUCUCAACGUUCUCUUCAAUCUCUUCUCCUUUUCUUUUAGCCUCAUCAACCUGGUGCUCUGUAUUCACCCUCUCAGACUUUAGUUUCACAACUUCAGUGUUGAGAUUCUGUAAGUUGCUCGUGUACUUACUCUCACGCAAAUAUCUAAUUUGGCGAUAUGCGGGAGGAGCCAAGCACUUUGCAACUUCUAAAACAAUAGUAAGAAUGAUUUCAGCCAUCUUCAGUCCUUUGUCCUUGUCUCUCUAUCUCUCUUUUUCUGAAUUUUGGAAAAACAAUUCAACAAGUGACCACAACAAGAUGGAACAAAAUAAAAAGGAAAAAAAUACAAAGAGUGGAUGGAGAAUAAAACAGAGACAGCGGCACAGCUAGACACAACUGGAUAGAGAACAGAGGAAAACCAAAUAACAAGACUUAAGAUUACAACAAACAGAGGCCAAGUAUUGUUGAGAUCAGAAGAUGGAAAAUUCAAAAGAGUUGAUGGCAGAUGCUGAAUAACAGAACAACAAUGAACACAAUAAACAGAAG